rnacentral:lncRNA from 1 species
GGGGAGGGCGAGAGGAAGGAGAAGAAGAGGCUUCUCUGCGCCCUCCCUCUUUCCGACCGGCAACCGACGAACCACCGCACCGGACCGGCGAGAGGACCGCGAGACCUAGCUCCCUCCCUCUUUCCGACCGGCGAACCACCGCACGGGACCGGCGAGAGGACCGCGACCUCCUUCCCUCUCUCUCUCUACCCUCCCUCUGUCCGACCGACGAACCACCGCACGGGACCGGCGAGAGGACCGCGACCUCCUUCCCUCUCUCUCUCUGCCCUCCCUCUGUCCGACCGACGAACCACCGCACGGGACCGGCGAGAGGACCGCGAGCAAUCGACGAACCACUACACGGGACUGGCGAGAGGACCGCGACCUCCCUCUCUCUGUGCCCUCCCUCUUUCCGACCGGCGAACCACCGUGAGCAAAUAAGAUGUUUUUGUAGAGAUCUCCCAUCGUCGCCUUCAUCUUCUUUUCCCCCCUUUUUUGUUUUGUUGGUUUUUUCCCCUAGUGUUCUGAUGAUGGAUCUGGAGUUGCAUAUGCUCGACGGCUUCUUCGGCGACCUCCCUGAGGCCAGCGACGUCAUCGGCGCUUGCUCCUCGACGAACGCGUUGUCAUCGUCUCCAGGCUCGGGGCUCUCGUGGUUCAUCGAGAACAUCCUGAUGAAGGACAACGAGGACGGUAGAGUUGCCGGUGGCGGGAUUAGGGCUGAUUCGAGCCAGGAGUUCUGCGAUAGGUUCCUCGCUGACGUGCUCGUUGACUCCCCCGGAGAUGGGUCCGCGGAGAUAGCUGACGGGUCCAGCGACAAGGAGGAGCCUGGAUCGUCAUCCGACGGCUGGGUCAAGGCUGCGAAGGUUGAUGGGGCUAACGUUGGUGGUGAAGCCUAUGAUCCUGCUUCUAAGAAGCUCAGGAGGUACGUUGAUUAGGUUCUCUUGCACUUCUCGUGUGAUUAUUAAGCUUAUUAUAUGAUGCAUUCUGAUUGCUCAGGUGUUUUCACUAAAACCUGAGAAGGCAAUUUCUGAUGCCAUUUUACGACAAGCAAAAAGGCCUUGCAAUUAUUACUGUUGUGAAAGUUGGUAUGAUGGUACCGGCCUUGUGGUUGCUCGUAGGGAAGACGGCUCAUCGUCUCCACCUUCUACAAUUUCUUCAUGUGGAAUAGGGUGGGGAGCAAAGGUAGGCUCGUUUUAUCGUAUCCCUGGAUUUUGAUUUCAUCAACCUUAAGGGCCAAGCGUCGAAACCAACAAGUGUUUUUGGCUUUCAUGCAAUCUGCAGAUUAACCACGUGUAUCAACGUGCUCAAAAUGAUUGUUUAGAUAAUAAACAUCAAUUUGAUUUUUUACUCCAUCCGGAAUGCUUGACAUAUUGUCUGCUUCAUUUCCAUGGUCUCUGUGAGAAUUUUCCUUUGUAAAUGUCUGGUCUGUCAUCCUUCUAUUUCAUGGAAUGUGCCAUUUGUUUCUCCUUUCUGGAACUCUAUCUAAGAACAGUAUUUCUCAGGAUGAGAUUUGGACUUUUUGUUUGAUUAUCAUGUUGCCAUUGAGUUUUCAAGUUCCUUUCUGCAUCUCUGUUCCCUUUCUCUGAAUUUGUGUUUUGCUUUAUUGUGGAAGUGGGAGAAGUCCCUGAAUACCGACACAAGUUGGUUGACACUCUAUCCUCUUAAAACAUACUCAAGAAAAGAAAUCUAGUAGUAAUAUCAGAAAACCAAGUUGUACUAUUUUCUGUGUUCAUAGCACUCAAUAAAAAAUCCUGUCUUUUCCGCAAUAAAAUUGAUGAAGAGGAUUUUUUUUUGGUUAUAGCAUUUAUAGCGCCCUAUGCUUUUGAAAUCUCAAAUGAAAACAAAACAGUAGAUUCUACAAAAGAACUCUAGAGAAUCAAGUUCGUGGGAAUCAAUAUAACAAUGAAAUCAAAGGUUUAGCGUUUCUCUGGAGAUUAGAAAUCAACCUUUGCUUAUUAAGGAGGGAGCAACUGCCGCAUAAGUUAGCCUCUAUUGGAGCUACAAGGAUUCCAGGAAAAUUAAGCAUUGUAGGCAUGCAAAAUGCCACACCCUCCUGCUCUAUAAGCAAAAUGGAUAUUUGGUCACAGUGUAGCUCGCUGAUAUAUGCUUAUCACAGAGGAAUUUUUGUUUUUUUGGCUCUUUAUUGCACACUACAUCUCGUGCCUCAAAUGUCAGUUUAGCUGUCAAUAGUUCCCAUAUUUUUCAUUAAUCCUCUCCCUGCAGAACCAUUUAGCUGUAUAGGACAUGGCAUUUCUAAAUUAUUUGUUUAUGGAAUGAGGAAUUUUUUCUUACAGUACUGCGUGUGGGGGAUUGCAAAUCGAUCUGACUUUGACAAUACCCCUGCUUGGCUGCACAGAACUUUGCUUUAGAUUGUUUUCUUGAAUUCAAGUAUUGCGCUUGCUGGCUUUUCUAAAGUGAUUUACUAUCCAUGAUGUAUAGGAAAUUUUCGUCUGAUCUCUCUAUCUAAUUAAAUUGUAGUGGAAAAAUUUAAGUGCAAAUCAUCUUUUCAACUAUGAUACCAUCUGCAGAAAAAAUGCAGCGCGUUUGACGCAGUCCAUCUCCAUCUCCAUUGACAUUGUUCAAUGCUCUGUUUUCCCGCUUGAUAUAAUGGUGUUCAAUGCUCUGUUUUUCCGCUUGAUAUAAUGGUGUGUUUUUAAUGCCUGUUACUUCUAUGCAUUAAAUUGAGAUAAUCAUUUACGCUUUCAAUCAAACCAUGAACAUAUUCUUUACAUUAUCAUUUAUUGCAGAUAAUUUAUUUGUCUGGUGCUUCCAGUUCCAGUGUUAUAAACAGCUAGUACUCAGUUAAAUAACACCUAAUUUCAAGUGAUAUUGGUUUCCAGGUGAGAGAUGAACUGGAAGAACUUCUUGACGAUGAUGACGACAUGGCAGACCUUUAUUUGUCGAGGAAACUCACUGGAGGGUCUUCUCCUGUCAGCUGGUCUGGAGCUCCAGAUUGGUUCUUUGCCUCUCCUACAACUGGCUCAAAAUUAUCCAGAACAAGUAGGGCAAGUGCGGUAACAGCAAGAGAGGAAAAUGAUGUUGAGGAGCUUGAAAUGUUGCUGGAGGUUAGAUAAAUCCAAUCAAUGGUCUCAUUUUGCUCAUUGAGAGUCCAUAAGUAAUGCUGCUGCUUUUCUGCAGGCAUAUUUCAUGCAAAUUGAUGGCACUUUAAACAAAUUGUCAACGGUAUGCAUUGUCAUUGAUAUCCUUGUACGAGUUUGUUUGAUUAUGUUGCCUCAUAAAUUCUCCUGCAGCAAUUUAAGGAAAAUUUCUUAGAAGAUAAUUAUCUUGGUAGACUAAACUGUACUAUUCCUACAAGCUAAUUCUUUGUAUUCUCUUUCAGUUGCGCGAAUACAUUGAUGAUACUGAGGAUUACAUCAAUAUUCAGGUAAGCUUUUGGAGAAUUUGGAACCAUAUCCUCAACUAUGUGACAUGUAAUUUAAACUAUUUUUCUCUCACAGAACAUCAUUAGACUAUGUAGUAGUAACUAGUGACAUUUUGAUCUGUUUUUUUUGUCUUGUUACAGCUUGAUAAUCAUCGGAACCAGCUUAUACAGGUAGGAUUCACAAGAUACACAAAGCUCCACUAGGUAUUUUGGAAAUUGACUAAUGUUGGCACCCUAUGUUAUCAAACAAAUGAAUCUCCAUUGCACGAAAAAUUCAUGCUCAUUGCUAAUUUCUACUAAAUUUGAACUGGCCAUAGCUAGAGCUCUUCCUCAGUUCAGGAACUCUGUGCUUGUCUGUAUAUUCUCUGGUAGCAGCGGUAUUCGGCAUGAAUAUUCCCAACGUGUGGCAUGAAGGUCAUGGUUAUGUCUUCAAAUGGGUAUGUAAAUCUCAUCCCGAUUGCCUUCCCUGCGAAAGCCUAAUCCUUAAGUCUCACACGACAUUUUGUCUGAGAGCAAGACAUGAUGGAUGGUCUGGUUUUAUUCAUGUUAACGUUCACUGGGGAAACUCUCAGGUGGUCAUUCUCGCCGGAGUUUUGUCUGGAUCCAUUUUCCUGUCAAUAAUGUCCUACGCUCGGCACAAAGGUCUGGUUGGUUCUUGAAGCCAAAUUGAUUCAUUCGGGAGGGAGGUUUCUGCAAAGCUUGAAAUGUCUUCUCAGGCUACCGAAUUUAGGAUCCAUCCGAUGCGCCAGCUCUAGGACAUCAUGUGGACGACAUCACCCUAUUAGUUUCCCACAAAUUGUACCAACCCACGCCAACAAUGUCCACGAGAUGGAUGAGAUGGAAUGGACGCAUAUCUCCCGGUCAAACUCACCAUUCCCUGCAGGUGGUUAGAAACUAGCUGCCAUUGAAAAGUCCAAAGUAGCAAUUGGGGUCAAUUCAAGUGAAGACGAGUCGUUGAUGUUGUGCCAUUGAUGCUGUGCUGCUUGUUAUACGUACAGCUACAGUAAAGGUACUCAUCUAUAUAGCUAUUUUUCCUUUUAAACUGUGGAGUUGUCCUCUGGACUGAUUUUUGGGGUAUGUAUACAUUGCUAUGCAAAAAAACAUUGAUAGUAUCCUAUGAUAUUAACCGUUUUAAUGUGAUAGUAAUUUCUCUAUUUUUAUUAAGUCCUAAGUGGAUGCAAUAAUAGUCUCGGGACAUAGAAAAACUGCUCAUUUUGCAAAGGAUCUUGUUCACUCUCUUUCUUUCUUCCUCAUUUGUCUCUGUUGCUGAGGUGAGCUAUGUAGUCUAGCUUGUAUGGCAUGGGUAUCUGUCCUUAGGCAGUCAUGUAAAAGACUAUUCUCCGAUUACUUAAAAUACUCUUCUAGUUAUAUAUUCAAUAAAAUGAUGAUACUCUUUACCUUUUCAAGCUAUGUGAAGCUGUUUUCAUUAGAUCAUUGUUUGAAAAAGUUUCUACAAAGAGCAUUUCUUGAGAAGCUUGCUUGUUGCCCAUUUCUUAGUGCCAAAGAAAGGGGAAAAGGGAGAGACAUUAGUUGAGAAAGCUUCUGCAGGGAUAUUUUUGAAUAAGCAAUCAUUUGAGAGAACACCAAGCUUGAUUCGUCAUAGAUCCUACUUAAAUUGAGAUGCUCAUAGUAAAAAGUUGGAGAGGUUUAGAAUUUGUAUUUCUCAUUUUCCUAUCAUUUCAUUGCCAGCAGUCUGUGGGGGCUCGUUCCGCUUUCUGAAGUUCUUUAAUUGUUCUCAACUUUUUCAUAAAAUAAUUGGCAGGUGCUUUUGUUGGAUGCUCCCUUCAAGGCAGUGUGGUGACAACGCGGACAAGAGAAAAUUGCCAAUUUUAUGGCAGCCCGUCUAUAAAUGCAUUGUACAUACUACUUGGUUCAUUGCCGAGGCCACCAGCUGCUGCCAUCCUUUUUAACGCACUCGCAGACAUGUAUCAGAAGCUGGAGUGGUCAUCACCAUAUUAGUGCCGUACAGCUUGGCCAAUUGUCUCCGAUACUGCCUAUGGAAGUUCUUAACUGCAAUUCUUGCCACUGUAAAGUUGUCUAUUCUUAUCAAGUGUAUAGCAUGUUCAAACUCAUUGCUUCCCUCUCUUCGCCAGGGGGUUUCGGGAGAGGAAUAUGUAAAUAGUUAUAAUUGCUGGGAUCAAUCUUUGGAAUGUACAUAUAGCUAUACAUUUCAUAUUUGGUGUUUGCUCAGGGUAUUGGGGAAGACAAGCAAAAACCACCCUUCUUUUCAAAUUACUUUGAAGAUUGCUUGGGCAUGUCCUAGAUGAUGGAGGAAAUUUUAUGUGAUUGUUCAUGAUGAACCCAGAAAAACAGGUUGCGUGGUCACGACCUGAUAUACAGCUCUUCUAUGGAUCUUGUUCGGUACUGCACCGCGCAUUAGACUCGAGUCAAUGCAGUGUAAUGGAAGUCCACCUCCCCCCCUGUUUCGAAGUAGUGCAUACAGAUCAUUGCGAUUUCUUGUUAAUUAUCUUGUUGUGCUAGAUCUAUGUUCCCAUGCAAUUUCUCGUUAGUCGUCAAAUGGUGGGGGAACCGAGUGUGAUUAGGAAGGUGGUAAUGUUAAGAAGGAUUAGGAAGUGGCUCAAUAAAUAGACCAAGACUAGGCGUCCAAGAAAUGAACCCUACAAAAAUUUAUGUCCUGACCUAACGUAUAAUCGAAGAUUGACCUGAGAAACCAAAGCGAGAAUGGAGGCAUGAGGUUGCGGAGAACCUGUGGUUUGUUGCUUGUUAAAUUCAUCUCAUUGAAGACAAUGGCAAUGAGAGAGGGAACACGGUUUGCUCCGGCAAAUUUUCCAUCUAGAAUUGAGAGCCCGAUUGUUCAGAUGGUUAAUGGCCAGAAGCCUUUUUCAUCUACAUGUCUCUGCCUGACUAACGUAGGACUGGAACAUAUUAACUAGCACCUCGUGUGGAAUCUGCACUUGUAGGUCAAGAGCAGUUUGUCAUAGCAGCAACAAAGUCGUGAUAAACAACCUGGCGAACCAUAUCAGGAAGUGUCUGCUGGUUUGAUGCUCUCACUAGUCACAGCUCGAAACUAAAAACAUUGCCAUGUACUUGGAGAUCAUGGAAUGACAAGUUUAGCCUGAUCAACUAAGGAGCCAGCAAAAGUGAAACCUCUCCAACACGGCACAUGUAAGCACUCUUAAGAUCAUAUGGAUUGAGCUUCGCAACCAACGGCCCAAAGGCCGGCCACGCACAAAGCGAAAACAAGGGAAAAUUAAAGAUUCUGAGCUUCUCGGCUUGCACAAAUUUGAAAGAAAAUGUUGUUGACACCUCAAUUUUAAUUAGGUUAAUUUUAUUUUAUUAAUUAAGUUUUUAUUUUAUUUAUUUUGUCUUUUUCGGAAUAAUAAACAAAUAACAAAAACAACAAAAAAUAAAUAAAAACAAAGGAAAAAGCAAAAGCAACAUCCCCCUUUUUUUCGCGUGGGCUCGCACGACCUGGCCCCCCCCCCCCUUUUUCUCCUUCUUCUUCCUUCUUCUUCUUCAUCGCUCCUUCCUUCUCCGCCUCUGUAGUUCACGCGCAGCAACGACGACGCGCUCGAAGACAACCUAUGGCCGAGGAGGGUAGGCCGACGUCGGCCAGAAGAGACAGAUCUCGGGCGCCAUCAUGGAUUUCCUUCAAUGCCGAGCACGCCUUGUGGAGGAGCUCGGAUGGGAUGUUGGUUCGGCCGGCGGAGGCGGUUCGGCGUGCGAAGAUUGGCGGUCGAAGCUCCAUCGACCAGCCGCCCCCUCGCCUAUAAAUAGGCUUCUCCCGACGAUGGCAAAGCACGGCGAGCUCGGAGACUUUCCCUUGAGAGACUUCAAGGGAGACUCAAAGAGCGAGCGCGUGAGAGAAAUCCGGUCGCGAACUCGAACGACCUCCCCCCGAGAGACUUCGGGGGAGGCCGACGACAAGCGAACCCGGAGAGAGAGGAACCGAAACAGAGAUCGAAAGCUUGCGAGCACCGGAAGCUUCCCUCGAGAGACUUCGAGGGAGGUCCGAACGCCCGCAAGCCCAGAUCUGUGAGCAAUCGAGGCCGGAAGAGAGGAGAGAGUUCCAGAUCCGCGAGGAGGGGCUGGAGAGAAACCAGAAGGAGCCGCCUCGAGCUGUACCGCCGUCCUCUGACACUGAUUGCUUCAGCACCUACCCGCCGUUGCCAUCCCCUUUCGUCAGAUCUGCUGCAGCGAAGCUGCUGCCUGUUGCCAGCUACUGCUUCCGCCCCCUCGACGCAGAUCCAUCCCCGUGGACUUACUCCCCCGCCGUGCCGCGUCGACCAGAGCCACGCCAGGCACCGACUGAUGCAGCUCACCGCAGCUGCCUGUCGCCGCCGUUCGCCGCGUCGCCGGUGUCGAGUCAUCACCCAGUGACGUCCCAGCCAAGCCCCACCUCGGCGCCGCAAAUCGUCGAGCUCUAGGGUUCCCAAAAUCCGGUUCUACGAAGGAGAAGCCGGGUCGGAAAGCGGGUCGGGCAUGGGUCAGCGAUCGGGUAGGGUUUCCCCCCCGAUGUGGGCUUGCGUGUGUGGGCCGGUUAAUCCCUGGAUUUUUUUUUUUAACGAAAAUGGGCCUUGGUUAGUUCAUGGGCUUGGAAAAAGAAAAAAAGGGAGAAAAAUCUGAGUCGGGCCCGCGUUGCGAGCCCGUCCGCGUGCGGGUCGCCGGCCCGGGUCGAACCCAACCCACGGAUCCGACCCGGGCCGGUUUUUAUAAUAUUUUGAAUAAAUAAAUAAUUUAUUUUCCAAAAAAAUAUAUAUAUAUAUAUUUUCUUUCGAAAAAUAUUAAAAAAUAUUUUAAAUUUUCAAAAAAAGACAAAAAUAUCCAAAAAAUAUUUUAUUUCCAAAAAUACUAAAAAAUGUUUUAAUUUCCAGGAAAUCGAAAAAUAAUGAUAAAAAUAUUUUAUUUUCCAAAAAAUCAAAAAAAAUAUUUCAUAUUUUCCACAAAAUGCCAAAAAUAAAAAAAAAGCCAAAAAUUCAUGAAAAAGCCAAAAAAUUCAUAAAAAGCCAAAAAGACUUGUAUUUUUCCCCAAAAAAAAUACCAAAAAAUCCCUUUUGUGUCCAAAAAAAUUAGAAAAUGACUUAAAAAAUGUUUGUCCUUCCAAAAUGCGUGGAAAAUCCCUCGAACAUCCAAAAAGCCUCAAGGUUUAAACAAGAUUAGGUACCGAAAGGGCAUUAGUGAUUAAUUAGUGUAAUCAAGUCCCCGAUCCUAAUUUCUCUGGUUGCGCAGGAGCGAGUAUUUCUCCCGAUACUUCGCUUGGGUUUCUAAUCAACCUACCCCAAAUUGAUUAGUGGCGACUCCAUUUUAAAAAUCAACUUGCAGGUUAAAAACUUAGACUAUUAAAGUCGUGAAUUGGUGGACUUGGGAGAGUCCGGGCAUAAUUAAAUUCAGCCGAGCCAUUAGCCUCCUUUAGGCGCUCGCCCCUGAUGUGGGCGCCGAAAAAAAAAGAGGUCGCGACAGCUUGGCGACUCCGCUGGGGACAUUUGAAGACUUAGGCCAUUUUAUCUUUGUUUAAAUGUCUUGCUGAUUUGGUUUUUUUCUUUUGUGCAGGGUAAUAGCUUAAAGUUUUAUUCUGUUAAAAUAAAAUGUUUUGUGAUUAUAAAUUGCCGUGUAUCCUUAAAUGUUUUAGCACUACACAUGACACACACAACCCGGCCGCCGGACCUGGGCCGCCAUAGGAUUUCUAAGAUGGUGUUAAGAAAGAUACGACCUCGAACGCGAGACUGCGAUGUAGAGGUUGCCUUUCUUUUCCCCGAAUUUCUUAGCCGAGGUUAGGAGGGUAUGCUGCUAACGCGAGACUGCGACGGGCGGAUAUCCUUUUAAUCUCAACAAUCCUUCUCAGUUAGAAAUCGAGCUACACGUCUCACGCGCAUGUCUUUGUGCUUGCCAUUUUUCUUUAAAAAGCAAAAGUAAUUUCUUUACUGUUACUCAGUCUUUUUAUUUGGCCCAUGGCAAUUUAGGAUAAGCUUUUCAAGUCCCAGUUUAUAUGCGAUGGGGAAAGACGAUAUCCAGUUCAUUCCUACUCCCAAGGCGGAGCUUUUCAGAUGGUGGGGUCAGUUAGAUCAGUUUGCCCAAGAGCGCGUGAAGGCCAAAGUCGGUCAUCUCCUAUCGUUGAUUCAAAUCACUGUUCGUCCUGAAGUCAUACAAGCCAUGGCACAUUUUUGGUGCCCGAAGACAAUUACUUUUAUAUUCGGUAGGUUUGAGCUAACCCCAACCCUGGAAGAAUACAGCAUCAUCACUGGAAUGCCUCUCGAGAAAAAGCUUGUCAGGCCAUCGACAGGCGCCCUCCCAUGGCGUGGGUUAGCACGACUUUUAGGAACUGAAAUCCAUGUCAUGAGGCAAAUUCUUGAAGACAACCAUAAUACCUGCCCACUAGAAUUUAUGAAUGCCUGUUUCCAAAAUCAGCCUAUGACCCAGAAAAUUGAGAUUUUCCUCCUGGCCUUUUUCGGGCUCAUCAUCUUCCCCCAUCAAAGAAAUGCCAUAACUCCCAAGAUGGCAUGGAUAGUUGAUCAGAUCUUAAGAGGGGGGAAUUAUGUCAACAUGAUUUUAACUGAAACAUUCUUGUCCUUUAAUCGUUUAAAGACAACUCGGAGAAAAUCAUGCGAGCCUCUCCUGAAAUUUUACAAGUCUGGUUCUUUUCUCACCUAAGCGAAUUUCGAGACUUCAUGCGAUCGUCUGAAACAAAUGCUUUUGAAAAUCCAUUACAAAAAUUUAUGGUUUUAGGACCGUAUAUUCCCAAUCAAAGUUGUUUAAAUUGGGUAAGCUUCCUAAGAGACCCAGCUCCUGAGGCAUUCCAAUGGUGUGCUGGUUGGUUCCAUGAAAAGAGGGCUUGCUUUGCUUACAUACGCACCUGCCCAAUUCCGUUGCUCGGCCUCACCGGCGCCAUUCCCUAUUACCCGUAUCGGGUAGCACGACAAUAUGGAGCCCUUCAGGAGAUUCCACCACCUUUCAAGAUGAUGAUCCCUCCAGUUCUUUUCAACACAAACCGUGACUAUGCAUUCGAAAUUGCUACCGCUGAGGAAACCUGGAGCAGCUGCCAUCGCAAAAGGAUUGUGAUACCUGAAGGGCUUGAGGGAGAAGAAAAAGCCCACCACGCCUCCAUGUCCUACAUCCACAACCAUCGCAUCCCGAAAAGAUGGAAGCCAUUAGUCCCUCACUCAAUCAGCGAGAGCAGCCAACACGAGCAAGCAGAGCUCAUGGAGAGGGAUUUGGGAAUGGACUGGAUGCACACCUCAGAGCCAGUUCAAGGAAGCAGGCGUUCUCGCAAGAACAAGGCUCCCCGUCGCAUAUAAAUUGGCAAUCAUGUGCCCCUUAGUAUUAAUAGUGUGAAAGUUUUGUCCCAUUGUUUAGGGACUCUUGUUUAAUAUCUAGUAUUUCAUCCUGUCUUUUCAAUUUCAAGUUCUAGAUGUUAGGAGUUGGCAGUCUAUAAAUCCUCUUUUGAUAAAUAAGAAAGCAGUUAGACCAUUGCCAUGGGUCAAUCUUUGUUUACUGUCGUGCUCAUUCAUUGUUUUCACCACGAACAGGUAAUUAUGAAUCGCCGGCCACUAAUCGCCCGCGAAUGGCCUCAUGCAAUAGGGCCCGAUCAAAGUGAUGUACAAAAUCGUCCCAUUAACAUUGAAGACGGCGUGGGACAGAUGUCCAUUGUCCUUCAACAACUCUCGAGACAAAUGAAAUCCACUCAAGUCGAACCCAACUCUGUAGUUGCCUUAAACACCGUCAUGACACCCGCAAAUUUGCCAGAAAAUAGCCAGUACCAUAGACAGUUUGAAAGGAUCAUGAAAAAGUUAAGCCAGCUGCAGGAGCAGAAUCCCAUGGACCUGUCCAAUUACACCGGCAUUGAGAUCUCUGAAAAACUCAAAGCACCUGAAUGCGAAAGGUAUGCUGAUACCUCCCGCCCAGAGACCUACUUGCAGGCCUACUUGGUCCGAAGGAUGAUUCAAUCGUACCAAUCGAGCUUGACUGGCCCUGCCUUACGAUGGUACAUUAUCAGGAAGAUUAGUCCCCUUAAAACCUGGAGGGAACUAAUUCAUGUUUUUCACCAAGAGUAUAAUCUUGACAUCACCUUGCCCUACGAAGAACUGAUGAUCGUGGAGCACGAGGAACCGUUAGUCGCUGAGAUAGGAGAAGAGCAUGUCAAUGAAGCCUUGCAUGAUAAAUGGGCAGCUGAACAACACCUUGUUACUGGAAGAUUUCCCACUAGGAAAGGCAAGGAGCCUUUGUACGAGAUCAAAGACACAGAGCCUGUUCAAGACCGGGGCACGACUGGACAACUCCCCAAGCUUACUUCAAGAGCUAGGGUCCAAAGAAUACCAACCCCUAUCAACCUGGGAAGUGAAUCAGAUAGUGAAACUCCAAUGUCUCUCACUUCCUUUGACAGAAUCGAGCUGGCAAAACGAAGGGCCUUACUCAAAAGAUCUGGACCAGGGGCCAAGAAAAGAAAGCCUAAGCAGAUCAAUGCAGCAUCUGCCGACGAGCCACCGCACCAAAGCUUCGAGCAUUCCCAAGAAUACAACUUUGAAGGCUACCAUCCCCAAGAGUACAACCCUGAAGACUUCCCGGCCCUAGAAUACAAUCCCAAGGACUUCCAGCGUUAUUUCGACAAUGAAACUGACGAUUCAUCGUAUAACUGUUUCCUACUCUCACCCGGAGAUGAAGGCCCGUCAGAAGAGGAAGCAUACGUCUUUAUCCGCUACGAUCCUAACGAAGUACUAAGCUCGUCCUUUGACCAUGAGGAUAGCUUCAAUACUUCAUCCUCAUUCGGAAAUUUUGACCCAGAAGAAAGCAAUGGGGUAAUCUCGGUAGAGUCCAGCUUCCCUGAAACAGAAAAAUUCACCACUACAAUGAAUAUGCAGUGGGAAAACCAGUGGUCUAGCCAAGACAUACCAGGCUCGUCUUGCCCACGUAGGAUCAUGACCCCCAUAGAAAUGUGGAUACCCAAUCUCCGCAAGUAUAACGGCAUGACUUGCCCCGUGGCCCACUUGCAGUACCUCCAUGCUGAAAUGAGUCGAUACUAUGGCCCGAUGUCAUUCACAACUCAGGCUUUCCAAGAAAGUCUUACGGGGUCUGCAUUACAAUGGUUCAUCACAGCAGAUAUCUACCUCAUGAGAGAUUGGAAUGAGCUGUCUUCUGCAUUCCUGCUUCAGUAUCAAAGCCAGAUUGGGACUGAAGUGCCUUGUCAGAACUUGGUUCAUUUUAGAAGAAGACCAAUGGAGGAUUUUCAAGCAUAUGCAAAGAGGUGGGAAGCUUUCAUGAUGCAAAUCUACCCUCAACUGGCUGAAGAAGAAAUGAUAAAGUUGUUCAUAGGGACUUUGCCUCGCGAGCAUCGUUGUUGGUUGCAUGGGUUGUACUUCCAUAGCCUCAAUGAAGUGGUCCUUUCAUGUGAAUACUUCGAGUCUACUGGAGGCGAAGAAUUCAAAGACGCUUAGCUUCAAGACCAGCACUAUCAAAGCGCUCCUUUACACAGGGGUUUUCAUGAUUUUUACUUGUUUUUAUAAUUUCAUGUUUCUCAUCUUGUCUAGUGUGCUACUGUUGUAUUUUCCAUUCCAAGUACUCUAUUGUACAGUUCUAAUAUUUUGUUUUAAGAGCAUGAGGCGGUACUCCAAACCAGCCCAGUGAUGUUAUCCAACCAUGAAAAGAAAAUAUCAUCCAAGGAAAAUACUGAGGGCUGGGCUUCCUCAUGCUUUUUCUCCCCCAAAGACGUAUUUUGAAAAUAAAAAAUAUUUCAUUAUCUAAAAGCUUUUGUCAAAACAAGAUGAUAAAUUUAAGCACGUUUGUCUUUCUAGCCCUCUCGCUUUAUGUUUCUGAACAUCAUCCCCUUUGAUUUAGUGUGACAAAAGGUAUUUGAAACUAGCACAUUGUGUGAACAGACCAAACUCGAGAACACAUUUUCAAGAAAGCAGGGGCAAACAGAAAGGAGCAUCCCGUUUCCAAAAAGGGGUAAGUCUUAUUCCCUUAACAUAAUAGUGAGAAUGACAACCCCUCUCUUCUAUUUACAGGAAACGAAAAUAUGACGUAAUAGGUACAGGCAUACGGUUAAAAUCAAGCCGUCCCUAGGAGCUCUGUACACUCCACCUUGCUCCUGCCCAACUCUUUCACAAGCCAGAGCAAUAUCCUUUCCCCACAAUGUGCCUAAGCAACCAGAUGUUGUGGUUUCAUCAGCGGGACUGCCAGCUUCGACAAGCCCAGAAGCACAAGGAAGGGAUCUCUUCUCUUUCUUUGAAUUGGCUACUGUCAACAGGGAAGAAAUCCAGACAGUUGAAGUGGUCUCUAGCCCCUAUUCAAAAUGAGGACCUAGAAACCUGACUUCCUAUUCAGACGCAUGCUCUCGCAAGAAGUAAUUCCCAUCAGAGAAUUGGAGGUUUUGAUUGUCCAUCUCAGAUUCCAUAGAAGCUUGAGGUACAUGACUUUUGCCCAAUGAUGCUAUAGUUAAAGACAGAAGGAGAAAUUCCACAGAAGGAAGGCGUUGAAGAUGAAUCAACGACCAGCAAUCAUGCAUAUAUGGUCACAAGUGAGGAAGGCCAAUCGAAAGAAAUGCCAAAUUAUGCCAAGACGAAAAGGCUGUCAUCGACAUUCAAACAUCAUCAGGAGUCAGCAAAUACAAACUUUGGAGAAGAGUAAUUUGGUAUCGUUUCCAAUACUCCCCCUACUUGAACUCACAUUUGACAUAUUUUCUCCUAUUGACAGGAAGCAUCGGGAUUCAAGAACCAAGCUUAAUGGUUAAUUUAUGCCAAUCAAGUGACUCGUAUUUAAUUCACCUAACUUCAUGAAAAAGGAUGUGUUGUCUAGGAGCCGGUUUGGUUAAAUGAAAAAAGAAUCGUCCUACGGACACCGUCGGCGCCUCUAGCCGAGUGGUAUCCGGGAAGAAGCAAAAUGGUCCGAAGUCGGGGGUUCGAAUCCCCGACGCGGCAGUUAGCCGCUUGGUAAAAAAAUAAUAAAAAAAUUUUUGCUUAUCUUGCGCCUGCAAAUUACGAGAGAAUAAUUGACCUAACGAAACAAGGGACAUAGGACUUCGUGUCCCCCUUCUCACUUCAGGUUCACCCAAUCAUAUGCAAGCCAGUGAAGGGUAAAGUUGUAUCGAUUCCAGUUAUUCGACUCUUGAAAGAGUUCAUGACUAACACAUUCCCUCUUGUUUGUUGCAGGAUCACCUGACUGUCAAAAGCAAGGAUAAUGAAUCAAUGAGAAGCAUGUCUUGUUUGUUGCAGGAUUACUUGAUUGUCAAAAACAAAGAUAACAAAUCAAAGAGAGGCAUGAAACUCUCCCAAGCAAAAUGGCGUCUCAAGUAUUGCCAAAGCAAAUGACAGAAAAUCUUCAGGCCUCAACUCACAUUUGAUUUUGGCCAGACUAAUUGAGCUACUUAUACAUCUUCUCUUUCUGCAGGGGCAAAAGCAGAGAUGCCUGAUCAAAUUCUCAAUCCUUGGCUGAUCCUUCAUGUGUCAUAUCCCUAAUCAAUAGGGAUGACUAUCGACACCCAUUUGCGAAUAACCCUUUUGAUGUUCAAAAUUUAACAUAUUUGGAAACACCAUCAUGUUAAAGUUGUCAACAGGGUCUUUUUUGAGUCAAAACCAUUCACUUGUUUUGAAAAGUUCAAACUCCAUCAUAUUCAAAAUAUUGCAUGUCAUUUCCAGAUGAAUUCUGCAUGAUGAUUUUGUCUGUCUAAGUCACUGAUUCCACUAAGGAUUAUUAGAAUAGACAGCUAAGUGAAGAAUACAAGAUUGAUCGAGCAUGCUGGAUGAGGCACGUCAGGAUGAUGAAAGGCAAACCAUAUCCUACACACAAUCCCCCAUCUAUACACUUGUGAGAUGAGUGCAGAAGAUUCCAUGACUGUAGGGUAAAGAGUUCUCUCGCGAAUGGUACGAUAACCAAAACAGUGAGAGGCAUUUCAUUGCUCACCCCAUUGAGCCCCAUACACUGAUGAAAUUUCUAUCCUAUCCCUGUCAAGAACCACCCCACACUGGGGCAGAUCGGAGGCGAAGCAGCAUCACAAGGUGAGAAGAGAGAUAGAAAUUUUCUUGCUCGCACUUGCAUCAAUCUUCGGGUGUCCUUAUUGCAUAUGAACACUCACGUUAAUUUAAGUGCCCUAGAAUGACGAAGAGCAAUUCUUUCGCUAUGCACUUGUAUUCAUUGUACAACCCAAUUGAGUCUGUAAUUUCACCCUUACAUGAAGGCAAAAUAGAAGUUACUGCCAUAGCCCAGAGCGCCUAUUGAAGAUGAAGACUCAAGAGUCUAAUAAUGGUGCUUCGAUUGAACUUGCCUAGGCCGGUUCCUCUAAUGACAAAAAUGAAAAAAAAAACAUGGGCAUAAAAAAGCAGUGUACCUGGUAAAAGCAAGGUCAAUGCCCAUAAAUGAAGAACUGGAAUAAAAAAAGGGGCAUGAAAAAGCAGUGUGCCUGGUAAAAGCAAGGCCAAUGCCCCCUAGUCAAAAAUGCAGCCAAGAAAAUGUUGCUGUUGUGGUCCAUAGAACCUCCAUUUGACAGUGAGAAGAAAGACUGGUGACAAAUGCCAAGGCAAUCACCAGCUCUUACCCUUUUACACAUGAAUCAAGCCUACAUUGCAUCCCAUUGUAAAAGUCUCUUCAGACUAGGGGCACUUCAAUUAACGUAGGAUUUCAUAUGUCUAUAAGCAUCGCUCGAAGAAGUACGAGCAAGACUAUUCUAUCUCUUUUCGCAGGACUCUUGACUUGCAAACCUGGAGAUGAUCGUGCGGCACUUCGUUCAUGAGCCUUGACCUCGACGGUCCCAUUUGAUGAGCUAUUCUUCAUCAUAAUUUCAACAAAGACCUCUCACAUUGGUAAAGUCGUACCACUUGCGAGAAUACUCAGACCCCUGCUGACAUGAUGACAGUGAGAAGUGUGGUCCUUAUAAAUCCUGCAUCAAUGGUCAGGAUAGCCUUUUCCAUGAGAGUGAGUGAAAAGUUCUUUCAGACUGAAAGUCCCUCAUCUGGCAUGCUCAAGACAUCUACAUUCUAAAUGAAGGUUGUCUUUCAAAAUCUUCUCCAGUGAAACUCAGAUGAUACAAAACUGACAAAAUUGUCAUGCAUGAAUCGCAUUUAAACUCAUGAAUUUACAGCAUAUGCAAUCAUGUGUGCUUAUUGUGCAAAUAGCAGACAUACUCUCAGAGAUCAGAGAUAUUGCCAGGUAAGCAUAUCUCUAUCCCUAUUUGUCUUAAAGUACCUAUCACUGUCCAGGUACUCUCUUCUUGACACUCGACCUAUUCGAGUCGUCCCUUGAGUUUGGGUGCUUGCAAUUGUCUCAGUAUCCCAUGGUCUUUGAGUACCCACCACUUGCCGGGUACUCCCUCUUAACGACACUCGACCUGUUCAAGUUGUCUCCAGAGUAUUGAUACUUGUGCCUGACCAAGUAUCCCUUUAUCGUUGAAUACCUACUGCUGUCUAGGUAUCCCCACUGUCUUUGAGUACCGGCCACCGUUCGGAUACUCCCUUUUCCUGACACUCGACCUAUUCGAGUUGUCCCCAGAGUAUUGAUACUUGUGCCUGACCAAGUAUCCCUUUAUCAUUGAAUACCUACCACUGUCUAGGUACUCUCCUAUUGACACUCGACCUAUUCGAAUUGUCUUUUGAGUUUCGAUGCUUGCAACUGUCUUAGCAUCCCAUUGUCUUUGAGUACCGGCCACCGUUCGGAUACUCCCUCUUUCUGACACUCGGCCUGUUCGAAUUGUCCCCAGAGUAUUGAUACUUGUGACUGACCAAAGUAUCCCACUACUUUUGAGUGCCUUUCAUUGUCUAGGUACUCUGUUUCCGUGACACUUAACCUGCCUGAGUUGUCCCCAAAUAAUAUAGCAGCUGUUCAAGCAUUCCACUGCUUUAUGUGCCUGCGCCUACCCAGGUAUGCUUUCUUACACUUGGACCUGCUGAGUGGUCCCAGAUCAUGUCAUUAAAUACUUGUGUUCAUCCAAGUAUUCCGGUACUUUGUACUCCUGCGGCUACUCAGGUGUUUCAGCCCUUUUGAGUGCCUGCGGCCAUCCAGGUAAGCCUCGCGCUACAUUCAAGUUUAUGUUGCCAGGAGGUGGGAGACCUUCACGAAUAUGCGAGGCACGCCCUCGAUAUUCCCAAUUACCAGGAGGUGAGAGACCUUCACGAAUAUGCGAGGCACGACCUCGAUAUUCCCAAUUACCAGGAGGUGAGAGACCUUCAUGAAUAUCCAAGGUACGUCCUCGAUAUUCCCACUACCAGGAGGUGAGAGACCUUCACGUAUAUGCAAGACCCAUCCUCGAUAUUUCCACACGAAUAUCUCAGGUAUGCCUUGAUUCUUCCUUCAGAGUUUGUACCUGUGAUCGUCCAGGUACCCCUUCGAUGCUUGUGAUCAUCCAGGUAUCUCCCAAGAGUUUGUGCCUGUGAUCGUCUAGGUACCCCUUCGAUACUUGUGAUCAUCCAGGUAUCUCCCAAGAGUUUGUACCUGUGAUCGUCCAGGUACCCCUUCGAUACUUGUGAUCAUCCAGGUAUCCCCCAAGAGUUUGUACCUGUGAUCGUCCAGGUACCCCUUCGAUACUUGUGAUCAUCCAAGUAUCCCCCAAGAGUUUGUACCUGUGAUCGUCCAGGUACCCCUUCGAUGCUUGUGAUCAUCCAAGUAUCCCCCAAGAGUUUGUACCUGUGAUCGUCCAGGUACCCCUUCGAUGCUUGUGAUCAUCCAAGUAUCCCCCAAGAGUUUGUACCUGUGAUCAUCCAGGUACCCCUUCGAUGCUUGUGAUCAUCCAAGUAUCUCCCAAAAGUUUGUACCUGUGAUCGUCCAGGUACCCCUUCGAUACUUGUGAUCAUCUAGGUAUCCCCCAAGAGUUUGUACCUGUGAUCGUCCAGGUACCCCUUCGAUGCUUGUGAUCAUCCAAGUAUCCCCCAAGAGUUUGUACCUGUGAUCGUCCAGGUACCCCUUCGAUGCUUGUGAUCAUCCAAGUAUCUCCAAAGAGUUUGUGCCUGUGAUCGUCCAGGUACCCCUUCGAUGCUUGUGAUCAUCCAAGUAUCCCCCAAGAGUUUGUACCUAUGAUCGUCCAGGUACCCCUUCGAUACUUGUGAUCAUCCAAGUAUCCCCCAAGAGUUUGUAUUUGUGAUCAUCCAAGUACUAUCUCCCAACAAACAGAUGCCCUGAGAAAGGUCGGCGCAUCUCCCGUCAAGGCGACCGAAGAAAGGUUCGGGUCCUAGACAAAACAACUUAUUGCUCUAACAGGCGACCGAAGAAAGGUUCGGGUCCUGGAAAAGCAAUUCCCCGUCAAGGCGACCGAAGAAAGGUUCGGGUCCUAGACAAAACAAACUUAUUGCUCUAACAGGCGACCGAAGAAAGGUUCGGGUCCUGGAAAAGCAAUUCCCCGUCAAGGCGACCGAAGAAAGGUUCGGGUCCUAGACAAAACAAACUUAUUGCUCUAACAGGUGACCGAAGAAAGGUUCGAGUCCUGGAAAAGCAAUUCCCCGUCAAGGCGACCGAAGAAAGGUUCGGGUCCUAGACAAAACCAACUUAUUGCUCGAACAGGCGACCGAAGAAAGGUUCGGGUCCUGGAAAAGCAAUUCCCCGUAAAGGCGACCGAAGAAAGGUUCGGGUCCUAGACAAACUAACUUAUUGCUCCAACAGGCAACCGAAGAAUGGUUCGGGUCCUGGAGAAGCAAUUUCCUCAUGCAACAGGUAAGAUGACAUCUUGAUACUUGCCAAACUCGGGGUUCACACCCUAUCUCACUCACUCCCGGUAAGUAACUACAGGUAUCUUCUUAUCUGUCUCAGUAUAUGUAAAGUUAUAUUGCUCUUUUUUCCGCAUAGAAUAAUAGGUCCCAAAUAAAGUAUAAUCUGCUACGCAUGCAUGGAUAAAAUUGAGAUAUCAGUCUGUCUUUGAAUGCAACCUCUGCGAGCUCACCUUCAAAGAGGGGCAGCUGUUGACACCUCAAUUUUAAUUAGGUUAAUUUUAUUUUAUUAAUUAAAUUUUUAUUUUAUUUAUUUUGUCUUUUUCGGAAUAAUAAACAAAUAACAAAAACAACAAAAAAUAAAUAAAAACAAAGGAAAAAGCAAAAGCAACAUCCCCCCCUUUUUUUCACGUGGGCUCGCACGACCUGGCCCCCCCCCCCUUUUUCUCCUUCUUCUUCCUUCUUCUUCUUCCUCGCUCCUUCCUUCUCCGCCUCUGUAGUUCACGUGCAGCAACGACGACGCGCUCGAAGACAACCUAUGGCCGAGGAGGGUAGGCCGACGUCGGCCAGAAGAGACAGAUCUCGGGCGCCAUCAUGGAUUUCCUUCAAUGCCGAGCACGCCUUGUGGAGGAGCUCGGAUGGGAUGUUGGUUCGGUCGGCGGAGGCGGUUCGGCGUGCGAAGAUCGGCGGUCGAAGCUCCAUCGACCGGCCGCCCCCUCGCCUAUAAAUAGGCUUCUCCCGAUGAUGGCAAAGCACGGCGAGCUCGGAGACUUUCCCUUGAGAGACUUCAAGGGAGACUCAAAGAGCGAGCGCGCGAGAGAAAUCCGGUCGCGAACUCGAACGACCUCCCCCCGAGAGACUUCGGGGGAGGCCGACGACAAGCGAACCUGGAGAGAGAGGAACCGAAACAGAGAUCGAAAGCUUGCGAGCACCGGAAGCUUCCCUCGAGAGACUUCGAGGGAGGUCCGAACGCCCGCAAGCCCAGAUCUGUGAGCAAUCGAGGCCGGAAGAGAGGAGAGAGUUCCAGAUCCGCGAGGAGGGGCUGGAGAGAAGAGAAACCAGAAGGAGCCGCCUCGAGCUGUACCGCCGUCCUCCGACACUGAUUGCUUCAGCACCUACCCGCCGUUGCCAUCCCCUUUCGUCAGAUCUGCUGCAGCGAAGCUGCUGCCUGUUGCCAGCUACUGCUUCCGCCCCCUCAACGCAGAUCCAUCCCCGCGGACUUACUCCCCCGCCGUGCCGCGUCGACCAAAGCCACGCCAGGCACCGACUGAUGCAGCUCACCGCAGCUGCCUGUCGCCGCCGUUCGCCGCGUCGCCGGCGUCGAGUCAUCACCCGGUGACGUCCCAGCCAAGCCCCACCUCGGCGCCGCAAAUCGUCGAGCUCUAGGGUUCCCAAAAUCCGGUUCUACGAAGGAGAAGCCGGGUCGGAAAGCGGGUCGGGCAUGGGUCAGCGAUCGGGUAGGGUUUCCCCCCCCCCCCCCCCGAUGUGGGCCUGCGCGUGUGGGCCGGUUAAUCCCUGGAUUUUUUUUUUUAACGAAAAUGGGCCUUGGUUAGUUCAUGGGCUUGGAAAAAGAAAAAAAGGGAGAAAAAUCUGUGUCGGGCCCGCGUUGCGAGCCCGUCCGCGUGCGGGUCGCCGGCCCGGGUCGAACCCAACCCACGGAUCCGACCCGGGCCGGUUUUUAUAAUAUUUUGAAUAAAUAAAUAAUUUAUUUUCCAAAAAAAACAAAAAUAUAUAUUUUCUUUUCGAAAAAUAUUAAAAAAUAUUUUAAAUUUUCAAAAAAAGACAAAAAUAUCCAAAAAAUAUUUUAUUUUCCAAAAAUACUAAAAAAUGUUUUAAUUUCCAGGAAAUCGAAAAAUAAUGAUAAAAAUAUUUUAUUUUCCAAAAAAUCAAAAAAAAUAUUUCAUAUUUUCCACAAAAUGCCAAAAAUAAAAAAAAAGCCAAAAAUUCAUGAAAAAGCCAAAAAAUUCAUAAAAAGCCAAAAAGACUUGUAUUUUUCCAAAAAAAAAAUACCAAAAAAUCCCUUUUGUGUCCAAAAAAAUUAGAAAAUGACUUAAAAAAUGUUUGUCCUUCCAAAAUGCGUGGAAAAUCCCUCGAACAUCCAAAAAGCCUCAAGGUUUAAACAAGAUUAGGUACCGAAAGGGCAUUAGUGAUUAAUUAGUGUAAUCAAGUCCCCGAUCCUAAUUUCUCUGGUUGCGCAGGAGCGAGUAUUUCUCCCGAUACUUCGCUUGGGUUUCUAAUCAACCUACCCCAAAUUGAUUAGUGGCGACUCCAUUUUAAAAAUCAACUUGCAGGUUAAAAACUUAGACUAUUAAAGUCGUGAAUUGGUGGACUUGGGAGAGUCCGGGCAUAAUUAAAUCCAACCGAGCCAUUAGCCUCCUUUAGGCGCUCGCCCCUGAUGUGGGCGCCGAAAAAAAAAGAGGUCGCGACAAAUGUGGACCAAAUGAUCCUACUUCUAAGAAGCUCUAGGACAACAGCGACAUCCUCCUCGAUGGCGGGCAACACCAACACCACAACAACCCCCAUGGUGGUGGUCGUCUCCGUCGCAAUGGUCACUUAAGACCGCCGUAAUUGAGUCUCCAAUUCCAACUCCAACUCUCACUCCGGUAUUGAACCAUGAGAGUUCGCCAUCUUCGUAUUCCAUGAGUUCCGACCUCCACCAGUACAUGCUGUAGUCCUCAUCAAACAGUACAUGAGUAUUAUGCAAGAUUUAUUGCCAAGUUAAUAGGUAAGAGCAAAUAAAAGCUACAGAAAUUAGCAACAACAGGAUGGAUAAAUACCUGCAUUCCAGGUCUCAAUAUAAGAACACUCCUUCCAUAACGAUCAUGAAAACUUGCUCUGUAUACUUUUCCAGUUUCACCUUCAAUAGCAACUUCUUCCUGUUUUAGUAAGCAUCACAUUGUCAAAUGGAAGCAUUAUUCAGCGUCCCAAUAAGUACUAUUGCAUGUCUAACACAACCUGCUCAUUAGCCAUAUUGUCAACUAAAACGGUCUAAAUGAUGAUUUUGGAAACAGCAUGAGUCAAAAAAUAUAUUGGGACACUUAGUGUCCCUUGAACAAUAAACUCUCCAACACCUAAUGCUUCAUAUCACUGCAUCAUGGCAGUCUCAUAGAAGACACAAAAGUUGAGAGCCACUCAAUUAUUGUUGACUAACACCAAUCCUGCAUUCGCAUUCAUUCAGAAAAUCAGUUCUUUUCCAUACCAGGAACUUAGUCUACAAAAUAAAAUUAAUUAUCAGGUCAACACAAUAGUUAGGGUAACAAGGAUCGGAUGUCUAUUGAAGUUUAACAGGCAACAGCCAUCGGCAUAAAUUAUCUAUCACAAUACUCGCGCAGGUAUUCAUUCACCGGGACACUUAGCCAUCUUACCCAGCUGAUUUCCUCAGGCUUAAGAGUUGAUCUCCAUUUCAGUGUCUCAUCUCUUUGCUUUAUCUAUGUUCCAGUUUCAAGCUUCCAAGUAUCUCCUCAAGCAUGCAUCAUCACAAUACUUCAAACUUCGCCCAGAGAGUGGUCCCAUAGCUUUCUUAAGUCAUUCACCUACAUGCAAAUGGACUUAAAAUGUAACUGUAUUUCUCCAAUAUUCUAGGAAGGAACAUUGAUUAUCAUUCCACAACUCUAGAAAAUCAAUGCAUCAUGAGACAUUAAACACAUAUAUGAAAGGGGUACACAUCUCUGGCUCAGGGACUUUUUCUUCUUCCACAAUAAAGCAAAACACAAAUUCAGAGAAAGGGAACAGAGAUGCAGAAAGGAACUUGAAAACUCAAUGGCAACAUGGUAAUCAAACAAAAAGUCCAAAUCUCAUCCUGAGAAAUACUGUUCUUAGAUAGAGUUCCAGAAAGGAGAAACAAAUGGCACAUUCCAUGAAAUAGAAGGAUGACAGACCAGACAUUUACAAAGGAAAAUUCUCACAGAGACCAUGGAAAUGAAGCAGACAAUACGUCAAGCAUUCCGGAUGGAGUAAAAAAUCAAAUUGAUGUUUAUUAUCUAAACAAUCAUUUUGAGCACGUUGAUACACGUGGUUAAUCUGCAGAUUGCAUGAAAGCCAAAAACACUUGUUGGUUUCGACGCUUGGCCCUUAAGGUUGAUGAAAUCAAAAUCCAGGGAUACGAUAAAACGAGCCUACCUUUGCUCCCCACCCUAUUCCACAUGAAGAAAUUGUAGAAGGUGGAGACCAUGAGCCGUCUUCCCUACGAGCAACCACAAGGUCGGUACCAUCAUACCAACUUUCACAACAGUAAUAAUUGCAAGGCCUUUUUGCUUGUCGUAAAAUGGCAUCAGAAAUUGCCUUCUCAGGUUUUAGUGAAAACACCUGAGCAAUCAGAAUGCAUCAUAUAAUAAGCUUAAUAAUCACACGAGAAGUGCAAGAGAACCUAAUCAACGUACCUCCUGAGCUUCUUAGAAGCAGGAUCAUAGGCUUCACCACCAACGUUAGCCCCAUCAACCUUCGCAGCCUCGACCCAGCCGUCGGAUGACGAUCCAGGCUCCUCCUUGUCGCCGGACCCGUCAACUAUCUCCGCGGACCCAUCUCCGGGGGAGUCAACGAGCACGUCAGCGAGGAACCUAUCGCAGAACUCCUGGCUCGAAUCAGCCCUAAUCCCGCCACCGGCAACUCUACCGUCCUCGUUGUCCUUCAUCAGGAUGUUCUCGAUGAACCACGAGAGCCCCGAGCCUGGAGACGAUGACAACGCGUUCGUCGAGGAGCAAGCGCCGAUGACGUCGCUGGCCUCAGGGAGGUCGCCGAAGAAGCCGUCGAGCAUAUGCAACUCCAGAUCCAUCAUCAGAACACUAGGGGAAAAAACCAACAAAACAAAAAAGGGGGGAAAAGAAGAUGAAGGCGACGAUGGGAGAUCUCUACAAAAACAUCUUAUUUGCUCGCGGUGGUUCGCCGGUCGGAAAGAGGGAGGGCAGAGAGAGAGGGAGGUCGCGGUCCUCUCGCCAGUCUCGUGUAGUGGUUCCUCGAUUGCUCGCGGUCCUCUCGCCGGUCCCGUGUGGUGGUUCGUCGGUCGGACAGAGGGAGGGCAGAGAGAGAGAGGGAAGGAGGUCGCGGUCCUCUCGCCGGUCCCGUGCGGUGGUUCGCCGGUCGGAAAGAGGGAGGGAGCUAGGUCUCGCGGUCCUCUCGCCGGUCCGGUGCGGUGGUUCGUCGGUUGCCGGUCGGAAAGAGGGAGGGCGCAGAGAAGCCUCUUCUUCUCCUUCCUCUCGCCCUCCCCCACGAAGUCUCGUAACCACACGGAUUUCGGCUGCGGCUGCAACUGCUGCUGCUGCGCGGCGUAAUUCUCCUUGUCCCCGCUGAGCGUGCCGCCCGCGGUGUCGUGAAACGCCUCGCCGUUCCUCAACGACAGCGGCGGAGGGUUCACCGCCCUCCUCGGCCUCAGAUUCCACGGCCGCCGCGCCGCUUUGGCCUCCUCCGCCUUCCCGUCCUCGCUCACAACGCCGCCGCCUCCUCCGCCGGCCGCACGGCUCAGGCGCUGCCCCUCCGGAGGCGGGGGCUGCUCGUGGGGUGGGGUUGGGAUGCGCUGAGAAAAGGAAACAGAGAGGAGGUGCAGCUCGUUCUCUGCUCUUCACGAGGAGAGAGAGAGACGAAACCCAAAAUAUUCAAGUGAGGAGAGAAAUUUUAAGCGGGAGUCGUCCUUUCUUCUGCCAGCCGAGCUGAGCCGAGCCACCAGCCCAGAGUUAUUUCGGAGAGAGGAGAGAGACAGAAGCGCAGAAGAUGGAGAGACGCGAGAGGAGAGAGACUGAGUUAUUUUCUCCUCUGACGUCCUCGCCUACGUGGCGCCACGUGUCGAUCACUGAGUGGUUUUACCCACCGCCUACGUGGAGGGUAAAACCCACCCAAUAUUUUCUCGCAUUUUGGAGGCGGUAGGGCCCAAAAGGCAAUAUUAGUAUAAAGAAAUGGUGGAGGGGGUCCACUUAUUUCAAUCGAAAAUUGCAUGGCCAGUUGCGGGCCGGGGAUUUUGCUCUUCCGUCCAACAGCACCUUUGACCAUCUCUUCAACAGCUACUUUGAAAAUUGCAAUUCUGAAAAAAAAUAUUCAAAGCUUGCUGAAGGAUUCGGUUUCCGACUUCUUGAUAUUUUACAAGCGUGGUCAUAAACUGCCAAUACUCUGAAGAAUUUUGCCAACAUACGAAUGGAUUAAUAAAUUACCAACUUUUUAUCAAUAUUGUAAGGGAUUUAGUAAUAUCCAAAUAAAUUAGAUUUAUCAAUGUCAAAAUAAAUUAGAAAAUUAUUUAUUUUUUUUUUUAAAUUAGACAUGGUUCAUAAGUUUUUAGCGAUGUUAUUAAUUUACUUAUGUCAGAUUAAUUUGUAAGUAACCUCUUAGCCUAGUUAGUUAGGAUCCUUUGAUUCCACCUUCAAAUGCAUGUACUCAAUUCGGGCUUACUCGACUUCAAGGGAGGCUUUCCUCCUGGCGCCCCAUGAGGAUCUAUUAAUUUCUUUCAUUGAUCGAUAUACUUCAAUUUUUGUCCAUGAGGAUCUGUUAAUUUCUUUACUUGAUCGAUAUACUUCAAUUUUUUUCCUAAAUAAUCUAUUUUUCAGUAUAGAAUUUGCAUAUCAUGGAUAUACAUGUAAUUUGUACCUUUUUAACUAGAAUUUUUUCUAUAUUCACAAUCAAUACAAAACAACCUCUAUUGUGACACUGCAAUAUUUAUACAUAUAUGCUGACUAUCCAAUUAUGUUAGGUUAUUUAAAUUUCAGAGUACAUGAGUAAGUAUAUUUCAUAUACCAUUGAUUAAAAUUAUUUUUGUUUUGGGUGACUUACCGAAUUAGGAGGGUUGCUUUUUUAAGAAUAUUGGCUGCUGUUAGUCGUAAAACAAUUUGUACGAAUUUGGGACUAAAUAUAUAAUUGCGUAUGGUCAUGCACACAUUAACGUGACACUUUCAAGCUUUUUCAGCAAUUCCUUUUUAAUUUCUAUUUUACUAGGUAUCAUAUACCUGAAUAAAAAGAUAUUCUUUACUUGAAUAAUUUUAGCAUUCAGUUAUGAAGUCGCCCUACCAAUUCAAUUAUAUAUGUAAUUCAAAACCUGCACAUCGUCACAGGAUUAAUAGAUAUAUGUCUAUUUAAUAUCAAUAAGGUGUCUAGAACUCUCUGAGCAUCCAACUAAUCUCUAUUUGGUGUGAUGGUCCCUCCAUCUCACACACGUCAGGUAAUCACCGGAGACUUACAAAAGUGUGCUUAUGGGAGUGGCCACAAGAGAAUGUCCAAGUAUAGUGAUUUGAUCACAAGCUUUGACAAGAAAGAUAAACACACUUGCCACCUAUGAAGCACGGACACGUUGCCCGUGCUUCCAUGUCGUGUCCAACACUUGUCUGAGCGUGUCGGACACGUCAACACGCUAGGACACGGUCGGACACGCAGUCAACGCAUGUCGGAUUUUCCGACACGCGGUCAACGUUUCUCGACACAUUUUGACACGCAUGUCUGGAAGACGAUGGAUGGUAGAGGCAAGGGAGGGCGAGGGAGCAGAGAUGAGGCCGCGAGCGACGGUGAGAGAUGGCAAGAGAAAGAGCCAAACAAAGAGAAAGAAGAGAGAGAAAGCAAACUCCCUUAGAGUCAUAAUCAAAACAUCACAGCGUCAUGGCCUAGUGCGGUUGCAAAGAAAACUGAUCUCGGGCCUAUUUGGCUCGCGGUUUACUGACCAAAUCUACGAGAACCUUCAUAGAUAUUUUGAUGCGUAUUCAUAGAUCAUAUUCAUUCUCAGGUGUAAUUCCACUCCGAGGGCAGGUAUUUCUUUUAGGGAAUGAGCUUGACUAAAGUAGGGGCAAAUCUUUUUCAUUAGGGGCCUUAUUAGUGAUUCCCUCUUUUUGGUCCCCGGCCGACUAUUCUCUCCAUCGGUGAUAACAUAAUUCGACGUUGAGUUUUGUCAUCUGCUGUCACGGUUGCACCUCAUGGAGAAAUUUACUAGUUUCUUCUUGCUAUUCAUAAUGACUAUUUGACAUAUCGAUACAAGAGCAUAUUUAUUUUUCUAUAUGUCAUAUGUAGGUUAGGCUAGACGUUCGUCAAUAUGUACGUGUGAAUUGUAUUAAAAAAGUCUCACACCGGAUAAUUGAUGUGGUGUGAUUAGUUAAUUUAUCCGAGUUAAUCUAUAACUUAUUGGCUUAAAUUUUUUAGCUCAAAGUAGAUAUGUUGAUAGGUUCAAAUUUGGACUCUCUCUUGGCGACCACCCUGAACUCCCAAUGUGUGGUGUUUGGUAAAUAUCUCAAGGAACUCAAUGUGCAUCAAUAUUUGGUAAGUAUCUUAAGAAAGAAAUCUCGUGAUCAGUGGUUUUCGAGCAGCCUAGUGUUGUGGUGCAGCAUUGCAUUCUCGAUGGCAGUUCGAGAUGAAGGUUGGCAUUGUUGUAGUUGUUGUGACCUCACACGCAACAAAGUGGAGAUUCACAUGUGAAUUAAUGUAGAACAUACCUAAUAUUGAACUCACACCUGAAUGAGUGGGAGAUUGUUGAGUUGCACAUUUGCAUUGUAUUAAAAAAGUCUUACAUCAGAGAAUUGAUAUAGUAGCUAAUAUAUCAUAGUUAACCUAAAACUAGAUAUAUUAAAUGGCUCAAACUUAGACUCUCUUUGGCAAUGUCCUCAAGUGAAGCUAUCAAGCGUCCAACAGUUUUUGAGGUCAGUAGCUUUUUCCAAUGGCAUGCUUGAAAGGCAAUCGGAAGGUUUGAAGGCAAUGGUGCGGCUACAUUGUGCCUCUUAAUAGACUUUGUGAAGGUAUCAAAGUACAAUAGACAAUCAAGGACAGUUGCCUCGUAGAAGGAAGGAAAAAUAAUACAAAUAAUUCAUGAACUUUGGUCCAAUAUACAAUGUCAUCUUUAAUUUGUUUAACUUGGUUCAUGAACUAUUGGUAAAUGUUCAGUGUUAUCUUUGAACUUCUAAUUUAUUCAAUGUGACCUUUAAACCAUUGGUAAAUAUUUAAUAUAGUCAUUCUGUUUGUUCAAACAACAAUAUGAUGACAUGGAUUAUUAUAUUAUAUGCUGAGUUGGAUUUUUAAAAUUAAUGAGUCAAUAUAUCCGUCUUUUAUCCGUCUACUUUAAAAAAGGAAACAAACAAAUUAGGGACUUCAAAUAUCCCACGUGCAAAUUUCUUUUCCUAAUUUGAGAUAAAUAUUUUACGUGGAUAAUCCAUAUAUAAUUUGUCUACCAUUCAUAUUUAAUGGAAUGGAAGUCACGUAUUCCAUUAACUUGAAUUAACGAAAAGAUGACAUUAAAUAAUUUGAUAUAGUUAGGGAAUUAGAUUGAACAUUUAUUAGUAACUCAAAGUUCAGGACUACAUUGAACAUUUACAAAAGUUUAGACAUUAUAUUUAACAAAUUAAAAGUUCAUAAGUAACAUUGCAUAUUGAAUCAAAUUUUAAGGACCAUUUUUGCUUCAUUUUUCCUUAUAAGGAAAGUGAAAGUAGGAACGUCCUCUUUGGUUUCUUUGCAUCUUGCAAGGUGCUUCUCCUCCGUGAACCACCACUUGCAUGCACGACUGACGUACCACGCGUUUUCCAGUUGUCUUGUAGAUGUUUCAAACAUAUUUACCUUAUUAUUUGAAGAAGAAUAUCAUGUCAUAAUGAACAUAGUACAAGACACUAUAUAAUUUUUUUCAUUAAAUCUUUACUUAUCAAAGGCCGGCGAGUUAUUUCUCGAUCGAUGGGAGAAAUGGGCCAAAAAAUUGGGAAAAUCCAGUUGAAUAGAACCCGGUAUGUGUUGAUCAAAUAUUGAUCCAUUUGAAAUGACAUGGGUCGAAGUCCCAUAGAAUGUGGUGGAAGACUAAACAAGGAGUCGUAAAGGGAAGGUGGUGGGGGAAAGAGAGAGAGAGAGAGAGAGAGAGAGAGAGAGAGAGAGAGAGAGAGAGAGAGAUUUCUUUAGUGCAAGAUGAUUCUUUCAUAAUUUUUCUUUAGUGCAAGAUGAUUCUUUCAUAUUUUUAUUUUUCUUUAUUUAAAGGUUCCAAAGUGAAGAAAGGAUACGAUGGUUGAAGGAUUUUUUUUCUCGUCUUUCAGUUCAAAUACUUGGCUUCCAUGAUAGAGGAUUCUUUUUCCCUUCAUUUAAAGGUUCCAAAGCGAAGAAAUGAUGAGACGGUUGAGGAAUUUUUUUCUCAUCUUUCAGUUCAGAUACUUGGUUUCCACAAUAGAGGAUUCUUUUCUUCAAGCCUAGGGAUUCUUCCUCAAAUUAUUCAAAUUAUUAUUUUCUUCUUCAAAGUCAUCAUCUCCUUCCAACGCUAAAUCCAAACCCCAUGUCUCCCACCACGCUGACAUCUUAAUAAGCCACAGAUUAAACUAAUUCCUGCCGGUGAAGAUCUCUAACUCAAAUUUUCUAGAAGCCAUAGCGAUAAUUGCAUACAGACAAAAUAACCCUAGGCUUUGAUACUAGUUUUACAACUAAUGCGCAAACAAGAACAAAUGAAAAUGACUUAAGUAAAAUAUAAAUUGCAUAAAUAAAACCUGAACGCAGCGGAUUUACUUUGUCCAAUGGUAAAACCUACUUUAUGGGGAAAGUUAACAAGGUGGUUUCAUGAUAAUCGGCGAAAAAUGGAUUACGACCGCUCAAUUACACUCACUCAUAAGUGUUUCUCAAUCAUAGAGUUUCACAAGAAUCAGUCACAAGAAAUGAGUUUUCUCACACUCUCAGCUCUCUCGGAUGAUGAUUCUCAAUAGUCUCUAUGUCUCUCACAAGCUUUUAUACAUAUUAAGCACACUCAACAUGCUCAAAAGACCAACUGACCAAUAAAAUAGUUAUAUGCAAAGAAAUUAUCAGCCCGUAUUUGAUGACAACAUUGAUUUCAUCUUCAAUAAUGAAAAGAGUUAUUGUGAGAAAUUAAUGUCCCUUGUUGCAUCACCCACACUCCGAUUGGCAAGAGUCCAAUUUGGACUUCCUAAUAUGGCCUGAAUUGCUUUGCAAUUAAAUUAUGGGUCGAAUAUCAAAUCAAUCGGGAUUAACUUGGAUUCAUAAUCAACACAUAACAACGUCAUGGCUGAGUGCAUUUGAAGAGGCAAUUGAUCUCAAGCAUACUCGGCAAACUGAAUGUUAGCAAACAUCAGUUUAAGGGAGGGAUUGUUAAUAUAAUAGUUAUUUCCUUUUGCACGUGUUGUUGAUUUGGUUGUUCAGUUAUUAGAGUUAGUGGAGUCAUGUGUGUUGGUUAUCCUAGUUUUUAGGUGUUAGUGGGACAAGUGCUUUAUGGAGAACAUGGGUAGUUAUAGUUAUGGUGUGUUUUACGUUAUGUAUUUUGUCUUUUGUAAAAGACUUGGUUGUUCAGUACGUAAGAUGUUUUUUUAGUCUCAUCUCUCCUCCUUUUUAGCAAUUUAACAAAAUCUACAGGAAUAUUCGUAGAUAUUUUUAUGCUUAUUCAUGAAUCAUAUGUAUUCUUAGGGGUAGUUCCUCUGAGGCGGGUAUUUCUUUCGGUUAACGAAUUUGACUAAGAUAUAAGUAGGUGCGAAUAUUUUUCAUUAGUGGCCUUGUUAGUAAUUCCGGUUUUUUUGGUCCCUGGCCAACUAUUUUGUCAUCCGGUGACAACAUGAGUCAAUCUUGAGUUAUGUUGUCUACUGUCGCGGUUACACCUCUUGUAGAAAUCUACUUGCAAGGUGCUUUCAUUGGUCCCUUCUCUGAGAACCAUCACUUGUGUGCUCGGCCAGGGUACUGUAUGUUUUCCGUUAGUUCUUGUAGAUGUUUUAAAUACAUUUAUCCUAAUUUUAGAAGAAGAAUAUCGUGUCAUCGGGAACAAAGUAUAAGACACUGUAUGUUUCGUCACGUCAAAUUUUUACUUACCAAAGGCCAGAGUUAUUUCUCGAAGGGAGAAAUGUCAAAAAAACAAAAAACAUAAAAUAAAAUAAAAAACAAUAACAAAAGCGACAAUCCAGAAGGGUAGAACCUGCUUCAUAUUGACCCCAAAUCCGAUCUCCCCCAUUUGGCACGUCGAAGUCGUAGAAAUCACGAUGGAAGAUUAAAAGAGCAGUACAAGUGAAGAGAGAGAUUGAAAGAAGAAGAAAGGCGGCAGAGAUUUCUUUCGUGAAAGAUGAUUCUUUCAUAUCUAUAUUUUCCUGUUUCGAGGAUACUUUUUCGCUUUAUUUAAAGGUUCCAGGGAGAAGAAAUCAUGAGACGGGAGGAUUCUUUCAUUUAUUCCCUUCAUGUUGAGGAUUCUUCCUCACCUUUCAGUUCAGAUACUUGUCUUCUAUGACAGAGGAUUCUUUUCCUCCAGCAUGGGGGAUCCUUCUUCAAAUUAUUCUUUUCUUGGCCGAGGAAAAAUGAGAUGGUCUUCACGACCUUUCUUGGCCAACACCUUCGUAUAUAUUUUGGGAGUUUCACUCCAUCUCAUUCAGACAUCUGUCGCAUUUCCUAUCUCGAAUUUUCACCGUCCUUCACUGUCUUCUUCCAGCCAUUAGCGAUCUCUCUCUCUCUCUCUCUCUCUCUCUCUCGUUCAUUGUAUUCAUCCUAUUGAACCUUUCCUCUUCUUCAGUCGUUUCGUUUUCGGGAUCCAUCACUUCAGCCUUCCUCAGUAUAUAUAAAUUCUUGACUUCCAUUUCUCUCCAAAGAGGAAGGAAAGAAAAUCAGAAAGAAAUAAAAAAGCGGGAAAAUGGCGGAUAUUGUUCAGUCUAUAGCUUCCAAAGUGGCGGAAUACCUGGCGGCUCCAAUUGGUCGUCGAUGCGGCUACCUGAUAUUCUCCAACAGCUACGUUGGCCAACUGAAGGAAGAACUUGAGAAGCUGGAUGACGCGAUGGUUGGGCUGCAGCGCUCCGUCGAUGAUGCUGAAAACAACAUGAGGGAGAUAAAACGCGAAGUUAACAGAUGGAAGAAUGAUGCAGAGACUGUUGCCAACAAGGCACGCGGCAUGCUGGAUGACGAGGGAAGAGCCAAGAAAACUUGCUUCUGCGGGUGGCUUCCCAACCCAAAGGAGCGUUAUUGUCUCGGCAGGGACGCGAGGAAGACAGCCCAGGCCAUCCAGGCACUCAUCCCACAAGGUAAAUUCGAGAGGGUCUACUAUGAGAGUGAUCCACCGGGGCGUGUCGCUGGCACUCCUGAUGUGAAUUCGUCAGCUGGUGAUGGGGGUGACACUAUUGUGGACUCGCGAGCUUCCGUCUUUCAGGGCAUAAUGAAAGUUCUGGAUGAUGAGAAGCUAAGAGUGAUUGGGGUCUACGGGCCUGGCGGUGUGGGGAAGACUAAGCUAUUGGAGGAAGUCGAGAAGAACCUCAGUAAAGAGAAGGGACCGUUCCACAUGAUCGUUAAAGCAAAAGUGUCGCAGAUUCCUGUCUCGAAGAAUAUCCAAGAUGAGAUCGCUGACGCCUUGAAACUGGAUCUGAAGGACGUGCAAAGCGAAAGCGGCAGGGCAAAUCGUCUGAUGGAGAGAUUACAGCGGGAUCCAAGUGAGAAGGUUCUCAUAAUAUUGGAUGACCUAUGGGGGGAACUUGAUUUGAACGCGGUUGGAAUUCCUUCAAGAGACAUUAACGGGAAAUGCAAAUUGUUGCUCGCAUCGAGAUUUGAAGAUGUGCUGAAGAAAAAGAUGUCUGCCAAUAAAACAUUUUUUCUUGGAGGCCUAAACAACGACGAAGCUUUCGGGCUAUUUGCAAAGACGGUCGGCAACAGGCUCGAAGACGAUAAGGAUUUGAAAGCAAUAGCAGCUCAAGUGGUCAAGAAGCUUGCAGGUUUGCCUCUUUUGAUUAUCUCCAUUGCAAAAACCUUGAAAGAAAGCCCUGUGUCCGCAUGGAGAAUCGCACAGAUAGAAAUAGAUGAGUCAACUAAAGAAAUACAAGAAACGAUAGUGAAGUUGAGUUAUGGCCAUUUGACGACUGAGGACGCGAAGUGCUUAUUCUUGCUCUGCGGUCUUAUUGGCGGGACCAUUCAUGUCGAACUUCUAUGGGUAUUAGGCAUGGGGUUGGGCUUGUUUGAAAAAAUUAAUGAGACGAUACAAAAUUCAAGGGAGAGAUUGAAUAAUAUUCUGGAUAGCCUCCGUUCCAUUUGUUUGUUGCAGGAUGGAGGCGAUGAUAAGAAAAAUGUGACCAUACAUGAUCUUUACAGUGAGGUGAUCAUCUCAAAUGCAUUUAGUGAUCAGAAUUGCUUAAUUAUUAACAGCGAUUAUGGCUCAUGGCCGAGGGAAAAGCUUGAGAAAUGUUGGGCAUGCUUAGUGAAUGUUGGCAAUGGUAGGCGUGCUGAACUAAUGUUGCGUCAGUUUCCCCAUGUGAAGAUACUUAUGUUGUCGGAACAAUACGAUAUGCGAGAUUGCAGUAGAAUGGAUUUCACAUAUAUGGAGGAGCUCCGAGCCCUAUAUCUUUGCUCCAUGCAUAUCACCAGUUUACCUUCCUCGAUGGAAAUCCUCAGGAACCUCCGGUCAUUAGGUAUAAAUUGCUAUGUGGAGGAUGUGGCAAAUCUUGGCAAGCUCAAAGCACUGCGGAUUCUCAGCUUCGAUGGGUCUAUAAUUUCUAGACUGCCUAAAGAAAUCGGGAAACUAACAAAUCUGAGAUCAUUGAAUCUGAACCAUUGCUACUCGCUUAAGAUAAUCGAGCCUGGAGCCCUAAAAGGCUUAAUCGACUUGGAAGAGUUACAUAUGAAGAAAAGCUUUGAUCAGUGGAUGGGCAAGCAUGAAAUACCCUCGAAAUCGUGUCGUGUUGGGCUUGUCGAGUUGAAGAACUGGACAAAGCUAGCAUCUCUGGAAAUAUCGAUUUGUCAUCCCAUCAUACUCUUGGAGGAUGAUGACCUACCAUUUGAGAACCUGGACAAAUUUUGGAUCGACAUAGGAAAUAUUGGGUUUUGGACCGACAUACAAAGUUUUGGGUGGAGGGAAAAUGAAGGUUUGACAACCAUGCAGCUCAAUCUGGAAGGGUGCGAUAGUAUUCUUUCAAGAAAAUGGGUUAAGAAAAAUCUGCAGAAGACUCAAUGCUUAUAUUUAAGCGAGUUGAGUGAGUUCAAAGAGAGCCCUCGUGAAUUGUGCACCCAAGGAUUCCGAGAAGUGAAGUAUUUCAACAUUAAAGACAGCCCCUCAAUCAAGUACAUUGCCGGAUCAUCCAAUGGCCUCCCUCUCAUUGCUUUUGGGAAGUUAGAGUCUUUUUUCCUUGAAAAUCUUAUUAAUUUGGAGAAGAUAUGCCAUGGCCCCAUUGCGCCAGAGUGUUUCAACAAAUUGAAAGCCCUGAGGGUCAGACAAUGUGACCAAUUGAAAUACUUGUGGUGUCUUUCAGAUGUGCAAAGACUUGUACAGUUGGAAGAGAUUGAAGUGUGGAAAUGUGACUCAAUGCAAUCAAUUGUCACACACGAUGCAGGAGAAGAUAUAGUUUCUACCAAUAACAAAGUUGAGUUGCCUAAUGUACGUCAUCUAGCAUUGAAUGAGUUACCAAAUAUGACAAGCUUUUGCACCAAAGCUGAAAUCACUUUAGAGGAUAUUCCAAUCCAGGUAAUUUUCUUUCACUUUUUCCCUCUGUCAAUUUGUCCUAUUAGGAUGAGAUGAUAUUGGUGUUCACUCAACGUUAGUACAUAUUGCAUUUUAACUUUGAUUAUUCAUACAAUUUUAUUCGCGUUUUGAUUUACAAAUGAAAAAUCAUCUCAAAUAGAACACAGGUCAUAUUAUAAUUAGAGGGAAGCUGCUUUCCACAACUAAUUUUUUUUUUUUUCAACGGUAGAUAAUUGGACCGAUAACUAGGGUUUCUACUGUGACUAAUUUAUUAUUUAUUUAACAUUUUUAAUGAGUUGAAAAAAUAGUAGUGUGAUGAAUGAAUGAAAGCAAGAAUGAAUCUUGAAUGAAUAAAUAAAAUUCAAUAAUUUCAAAAUGAAGAAAGCGACGUCUAGAGAUUCAAUAAAUGGAUGGCGAGCAAGAAGCGACGUAACAAAGAAAGUCCCCAUGACUGUGCAGUUGUGCGGCACUAGCAGCAUGAUAGUGGUGAAGAUAUCAUCAUGAAAAUCAGAAGAGAAAUUCAUUGUUUUUUUUUUUUGUAUUUUAGCUCGAGAGUUUCACUUAUUUUCUCGUGAAAAUAACUUGAAUUGAACAAACUCACCUUUAAUGAGUCUCAUUGUGGUGCUUUGUUAGGUUUCUUUGCCUCACUUGGAAUCCCUGGUAAUGGUUGGAUUCAUUGCCCCAGAAAAGAUACUCUAUGGUGAACCCUUAAAAAAAAACAGCAAUAUGAAAUUGCUAAGGAUAGAAGAGUCUAAAUCCACGUCGAGUAUUCCGAAAGAUCGGAUACUCAAGCUGCCAAAUUUGGAGUCAAUGAAUAUUCAUUGUCGUAAUUCAUUAAAUAAUCGGUACGAGUGAACGAAAUUCAACAAUCUCAAAAUGAAGAAAGUGAGAUUAAAUGAAUGAAAUGCGAACCAAGAGCCACGUAACAAAGAAAGUCCACCUAAUUGAUGUUUCACCUACAUGCAAGUUGCAAUUGAUUCCAACACGUCAUGACAACCUCACCGUGUCAACAUUGUUCUGCAUCCAUCAUCCCUUUCUUCAGCUACUAAGGGGAUAUUUCCUUCUCCAUUCUUUCAGGCACGACAAAAAAUAUACAUGUUCCCCACUCUGAUCAAUUAAUUUUUGAAUAAAAUUAAGUUUUUGACAUUCUUAAGAGACAUCAAGCCCAUUCAUGCAUUCAAUAUCCAUUUGUUUCAUUGAAAAUUCAUUAUUGUUGAAAAAAGUUUUCUUGGUAAAUCGUUUUUCUAGAAAAUGAAUUGUUUUCUGUAUUUGGUUCUACCGAAAACGUAAUUUGAAAAGAUAUUUUAUGAUGUUUAUUAACGAAGCACAAAAAUUUACAAAGUGAAGACAAAAACUGUUAUGGAUCCUUAAUAGAAAAAAGCCCGAAUAAGUCAUAUUUACUUGUUCUUAAUGAAAACCAAUAAGUUAACAAAAAAUUUAUGAAAAAUUGAACUUUGAUAUGAUUUUGUUGUCAAUUUUGAAGUUCAAAAUAGAAAAAACAAAAGAAAAGAUAACCAAAUUAUGGUAGUUGUUUUGAAGAUGGGUAAAUGAUUUCAAAAGAAAAGAUAAAAAAUUAUGGUCAUAGUUUUCAAGAUCAGCUAAAGAAAAGAUAAAAAAAAAAAGAUGAUGACAGUUGAGAGAGAGAGAGAGAGAGUGUGUGUGUUGUGCGAUAGUAUUGCAUUUGCGACAUGAUAGUGGUGAGGAUAUCCUCAUGAAAAUGAUCCUUUUUCACAGGGAAUUCAUUUUUUCUGUAUAGUCAUUUUCUUGUAUCCAUGAGAAGUUUGAAAGCAAUUUCCUAAAAAUAGCUUUACUUGAAAGAAACUCACCUUUAAUGAGUUUCAUUGUGGUGCUUCAUUAGGUUUCAUUGCCUUGCUUGGAAUCCCUGGUGAUGGUUGGACUCCUUGGCCUAGAAAAGAUACUCUAUAGUGAACCUUCAUUAAAAUACAAUAAUCUGAAAUCGCUAGAGAUAGAGGAGUCUACAUCCACGUCGAUUAUUCUGAAGGAUUGGAUACUGAAGUUGCCGAAUUUGGAGUCAAUGAAAAUUGCACGCACUCCAUCUGUAGAAGUAGUUUUCGACCUAGAGGAGCUAAAAGUCAUCAAAGAAGUGGAGAUUCUCUCUCGGCUAAGUACAUUGCAAUUAUCUAAGUUACCAAACCUGCGGCACAUGUGGAAACAAAAUGUACAACUACAAGGAAUAUCGAUACUUCAUAACUUGAAGAAGCUCUUUAUCAAAAAUACAGGACUAUCAUUUCUCUUUCCGCUGUCUGUGGCUAAAUGUCUUAGAGAAAUUAGAGACAUUAAAGUGGUGAAUUGUCCAAAUAUGAAGGCGGUGAUUGUUGAUGAAGAAGGAAGAGAUGAUGGGAUAGAUGAUAUUGUAGAGUUCCCAUUAUUGGAGCGACUAUCUAUAAGCCGCUGUCCCACGGAGAAAUUCUUCUCACAUCCUCAUGGAACAAAAGAGUCAAUAACCACUACUUCAGAUUCACAAGAUACUUAUUUGGAUUCCUUCUUUGAUCAAAAGGUAUGAAUCCUUUCUUUAGAGCUUACGCCCAUAAUAGACACCCAUAAUAGUCAUAGGCACGCGAUUGGUGGGGCAAGUAUUAAUAUUUUUUUUUGAAGAUUUUUUUUAUUUGGCUUAUUAGUUAAAAUGUUUUUAUAAUUUAUAGCUACACUUGUUAGAGUAAGCCCAUUGAUGAAAAUUCUAUCCUCCACCGCAUUAGAUAGAUCGGUAUAUGAUUAGGUCAAAUUGUAAAAUUUUUCAUAGCUACCAUAUAAUGUACAACUCUUAUGAGCAGAUAAGUUUACCAAGCUUGGAGAAGUUAACACUCCACUCGCUAGGAUCCUCUUGCCGUGGCUAUGGGCUCGGCCUCGCCAUUGCUGGGCAAGGCGUAUGGCACAAUGAGCUUCCCAAAAGUUCCUCCGACAAAUUAGCCAAUCUCACCCCAAAACAAGAUUUGCAAUCACAAGGAACAUCAAUAUUUCAAAAUUUGAAGGUGCUCUCUAUCAACAAUACAGGGCUGUCAUUUCUCUUUUCGGUGUCUGUGGCUAAAUGUCUUAGAGAAAUUAGAGAGAUUGAAGUGGAGGAUUGUCCAAAUAUGAAUGCGGUGAUUGUUGAUGAAGAAGGAAGAGAUGAUGGGAUAGAUGAUAUUGUAGAGUUCCCAUUAUUGGAGCGACUAUCUAUAACCUACUGUCCCACGGAGAAAUUCUUCUCAUAUUCUCAUGGAAAAAAUGAGUCAAUAACCACCAGUUCAGAUUCACAAGAUACUUAUUCGGAUUCCUUCUUUGAUCAAAAGGUAUGAAUCCUUUCUUUAGAGCUUAUGCCCAUAAUAGUCAUAGGCACGCGAUUGGUGGGGCAAGUAUUAAUAUUUUUUUGAAGAUUUUUUUAUAUGGUUUAUUAGUUAAAAUGUUUUUUAUAAUUUAUAGCUACACUUGUUAGAGUAAGGCCAUUGGUGAAAAUUCUAUCCUCCACCGCAUUAAAUAGAUCGGUAUAAGAUUAGGCCAAAUUGUGAAAAUUUUCAUAGCUAUGAUCUGAUGUACAACUCUUAUGAGCAUAUAAGUUUACCAAGCUUGGAGAAGUUAAUACUCUACUCGCUAGGAUCCUCUCGCCGUGGCUGUGGGGCUUGGCCUUGCCAUUGCUGGGGGAGGCAUAUGGCACAGUGAGCUUCCCAAAAGUUCCUUCGACAAAUUAGUCAACCUCACCCCGAAACAAGAUUUGCGAUCACAAGGACCAUCAAUAUUUCAGAAUCUGAAGGUGCUCUCUAUCAACAAUACAAGGCUGUCAUUUCUCUUUUCGGUGUCUGUGGCUAAAUGUCUUAGAGAAAUUAGAGAGAUUGAAGUGGAGGAUUGUCCGAAUAUGAAUGCGGUGAUUGUUGAUGAAGAAGGAAGAGAUGAUGGGACAAAUGAUAUUAUAGAGUUCCCAUUAUUGGAGCGACUAUCUAUAAGCCACUGUCCCAUGGAGAAAUUCUUCUCAUAUCCUCAUGGAAAAAAUGAGUCAAUAACCACUACUUCAAAUUCACAAUAUACUUAUUCGGAUUCCUUCUUUGAUCAAAAGGUAUGAAUCAUUUAUUCAGAGCUUACGCCCAUAAUAGUCAUACGCACGCGAUUGGUGUUCAAGUAUUAAUAUUUUUUUGAAGAUUUUUUUAUAUGGUUUAUUAGUUAAAAUGUUUUUAUAAUUUAUAGCUACACUUGUUAGAGUAAGGCCGUUGGUGAAAAUUCUAUCCUCCACCGCCUUAGAUAGAUCGGCAUAAGAUUAGGCCAAAUCGUCAAAUUUUUCAUGGCUAUGAUCUGACGUAUAACUCUUAUGAGCAGAUAAGUUUACCAAGCUUGGAGAAGUUAAAACUUGAGUCGGUAGGAUUGUCAAAAAGGAUAUGGCAUGGUGGGCUUCCCAAAAGUUCCUUUGACAAAUUGGCCGAAUUCACCCUUGAAAAGUGCUCCAACCUACUUGAUGUCUUCCCUUCGACAAUCAUGGGCAGAUUGCAGAACCUCAAAAUAGUCGAAGUUUCAAGAUGUCCAUCCUUGGAAUCGUUGUUUGAUUUUGGAUCCCUUGAUUCAUAUACGGAACAAAAAAUUGUGUUGCUCCUCAAAUUGAAAAAAGUCGAGGUUUUAAGCUGUCCCUCCCUGGAAUCAUUGUUUAAUUGGGGGCCCCUUGAUUCAAGUAUGGAGCACAAAAUUUUAUUGCUCCCCAAAUUGGAAGAAGUGGCCAUGAGUGGAGUAGGAAGGCUAAGACACAUGGUGAUGAGUGAUUCCCAAACUGUUUUGGGUUUUCCUAAUCUAAAAGAAGUCUAUGUUCACAAUUGCUUUGAGUUGAGAUCUCUCUUCCCCAAUUAUACGAUUGCAACUCUAAAGAAACUCAACACCCUGUGCAUUCUCAAAUGCGAACAAAUGAAGGAAGUGGUUCCCAAGGAAGAAGGUGGUUGGUCCAAGGCAAAAGUGAUAAGUUUCCCUUCCUUAACUAUUUUGGUUAUUUGGCGAUGCCCCAACAUUAGAGCAUUCAUAUGGAGUCCUACAAGUGCCAAGAGGCAGUUAGGUGAAAUGAUUGAAGAAAAUGAUGAAUCGCUCCAACCGUUGUUCAAUGAUAUGGUUUGCUCUAUAUCUUAUUGUGAUCAUCUUUAAUCUCGCAUUAUCAUGUUUUAGAAUGAACAAUGUAAUAAUUUGUCCUACUUAUUUUCUUUUCUCACAUUAUCCUCGUGCAGGUUACAUUUCCCAAUUUAGAAAAACUAUAUAUUGGAGGUGUCCGAUGCAAAGAGUUAUGGAACAAUCAAAUUUCUGAUGAUUCUUUUUGCAAAUUGAAAUAUUUUAUAUUGAAGGAUUGUGACAAUCUCCAACAUAUUGCCCCAUCCCAUAUGUGGAAGAGGCUGCAGGACUGUCUGGAAACCUUAGAAGUGAAAUCAUGCCGUUCAAUCGAGAUCAUAUACGAGAGUGAUGGGACGGUGGCAAAAAGUGGUAAUUUGAGGACGCUGGAUUUGCGUGAUCUGGACAACUUGAGGCACAUUUGGCAGUACGACAAUCUCCCAAACAUCCCCUUCCUAAAUUUGAGAUACAUAAAGGCUGUGAGGUGCUCCCGUUUGGAUAUGCUUUUCGCCACCUUCACGGUGAAAUUUCUCGAGCAAAUCGAAGAGCUAGUGGUAGGGUCAUGUGAAGAUAUGGAACUAAUUGCUGGCCAUGAAGAAUGUGAAGAAGUGACUGGUGAGACAAUCACCUUCUUUGGGUUAAUCACUCUUAGACUUUACAAUUUGCCGAAAUUCAAGAGCUUCAUACCAGAGAAAUACUCUGUGGAAUUCCCAUCCUUGGAUGACUCGAGUAUAAUAGAGCUAGACCAAGGCAACCAAAGUGCGGAGGAAAGUGAGGGGGAAACUGAGCAGUUAGACCGCGUAAUUGAGGAGUUAGACAGCGAAAUUGAGGAGGUAGACAGUGAAAUGAGGAAGAGAGUGAGGGGCGAAUAAUUAGUUUUAUGAAGUGAGCCACAAAAGUUUGUGAAUGUUGCACCGAAUGGUGUCUGGCAAAACAAAAUGGACGUGUCUGGUAAUAUGAGAUUUUGUUUUUUUUUUCUUUUGCAGUCUCUUCUACACUUCCCGCAAAGUGUGUAACUGUUUUCUUGGCUAUUCAUUUCUUUGGUUUGUCUCCUGGGCUACAGUGAUGAGUGCCCAAUCAUUGGACCAUAAAUUGUGGGGUUAUGCUGUAUAAAUUCUAAUCAAGUGCAUUAUCAUGUUUAUAAAUUUUCCCGUAAUAUUAGAAAAUGUAUGUGCUAUUAUAUUAAGUAAUCGAAGUCAUGAUGAAUUACCUCAUGACAACCGUCACAAGAGGAAGAAGGAGAUCAAGGAGAUUGCAAUCUGGGAAAGCCCAUGUUCCUCCUCCCAUCUCUCUCUCUCUCUCUCUCUCUCUCUCUCUCUCUCUCUCUCUCUCUCUCUCUCUCUCUCUCUCUGUGACUAUUGAUGGAGGCCGAAACUAUUUGAGUUUGAGGGACGGUAGUAUGAUUUCGAGUUCGACAAAGGUUGAAUGUAAGUUGAAAUUGGUGAUAACAAGGAGUCCUUUGAGUGGGUUGAGUAUUUGAAUCUUCAUGAUUCUAAUCAAGGUAAACUUCGCUCUGUUUCUCCUGGAGGAAAGGAUCGAGUGCUUGAUUCCGCCGGCGUGAAAUCUGGAACUUACUGUCCUGAUGAACUCAUUCAGGUGCCCUUGACUGAAACACCUACCAUAUGUUUGAUUGAAUUCCUGAACGGUACUGGCAUGCAUAUUUUGCAAGUAUUCUUGCAUUGUGAUGAUUAUCUGGCAAUGGCGUGCUUAAAUUGAGAGUUCUCCAGGGCAUAUGGUAUUAUUUUCGUUGAUGUUGGUUGAACUCUCCCGGUUGUGCUCAAUGCUCCCAUGACUGAGAAUUUGAACAUGCCGUGUUGGCUUAAUUUACUUAGAAUUAUGUUUUCCUUAUCAAUCUACGAUGUUGUAUAUGGCUAUUUUAAUAUUCAAGACAAUGACCAUCUUUGAAUUGGAAAUUGUGAAAUCCUUCUUCGAAAUGUGCAUCGUUACUGUGUACUUCAAUGAAUUCCUGUGCGGACUUCAUCCUUUGCUUGAUCUCGCAUGUAAUUGGUUUCGUAUGCCUGGAUGAUUUUGCCUUGCAUUUCUCGAUCUGUUCAGUGAUACCUCAACCCCUUCACAUCGCCAAUGAUAUUCGGUUCAUUUUUUUGGGCGAAUGCAUGGGCCUGUACCUCUUUGAUUUUCUUCAUUUACUAAAGAUUCUGAGGUUCAUUCCUCGAUGUCAUUUGCUUGUAACUUCUCUGUGAAUGGCAUGUGGCACCCCUCGACAGCCCCUGAUCCGAUAGGGUCGCCACAGUUCGCUUACCUUUCACUUUCCCUAUUAACAUGUUACUUUGAUACCAUUUCAAUUGCAGCAGGUCCAUACAACCAUGGGGGUUUACAUUUUUUUUUUUUGAUAAGUCCCUUGCGCAAUUCAUAAAGCAGAAGCACAUCCAUCAACUCCCUUCCCUAUAUUCAAAAAACGAUGCACACCAACUAAACAUUUUAUAUAAGUCAAAGCCGUACACUCUUAUUUACAUAACUUGAUGGAUAUCAUUAAUCGAUACAUCAAAAUGCCAUAGUCUUUCUAUACUUUGCUAUAUUUCAAAAGAUGACCGACAUCUCUUCCAACAGUCAUAUACUUAAAGUCCAUCGAUCAGUGUCGGCGUUCAAAAGUUCCUUCCUCUGCUAUCCUCCUCCUCGCGGCCAUAUCCAACCACUCGGACCAUCUACUGGUGGCGGUGGCGGCAGAGGUAUGUUGUCUAGUCUGAAACGUUAGUCUCCAAACGGGGUGAGUACAACCACUCAGCAGUAAAAGAUUCAUCAAGCUAUAUCAAGCAUUACUAUUAAUAUCCAUAUUCAAGUAUGGUAGACAAAAUAGGCAAUCCAUAAAUGAGUAUGCAUCCCAACCAUAUAACUCUUCGAUGCAAUGACUAGUGCAUUUCCAACCAAUAAGAUGCAUCGUGUCCAGCCACACAAGUCCCGAUCAUGGGGCCAAACUGUGAUGACAUGUCCCAUUCCAUGCCUUACAAUUUAGUCCCAUAACCAGACCACACUCACACUUAAUAUAAUCAUCCGUUUUAUCAUUCAAAAGGUUUCAUCCCCCAGAGGACCAAUGUUUGCAUCCUUCUGGGAUUCCGCACCCAACCUGGCAUCGCGGAAGCCUCCGGGCAUGUAUUCAAAAUACAACCAGGCAUCCAAAGGGCAUCGGCUCAUUCGAACCUCUGGGCAUCUCGCACCCCACCUGGCAUCACGAGGAAUCACUGGGGACCAUAGACAUGGUUACCCCUAACCUUCGAGCAUGCAUCAUAAUACAACCCCUCACCCUCCGAGCAUGUAUCAUAAUACAACCGGGCAUCUCGACACUCCCGGGAAAAACCUUUGGGCAUGUAUUCAUAAUACAACCAGACAUCCAAAGGGCAUCGACUCAUUCGAACCUUUGGGCAUCCCGACUCCCGGGGCAUCGUUGACCCGAGGGUUCAACGGUAACAGUUUAGCAUUUUAAUUCACAAAAUAUUCUCAAAUGCUAAAACAAGACGUCUCAUGGACUCUCUAUCACAUCUCAAUAUUGCACAAAUAUUUACAGCCAUUACCAUCAUAUCACAUAGCCAUUCGAAAUACCUUCACUUUCGGAUACUUUUGUAAAAUUCAAGAGCAGAAUAGUCCAAUUUUUACAAUGCACAGUUCUGGUAGGAAUUUUGAAAUAAAUACUAAAUGGACUCAGAAAAUUACGAAAGUUUGACAUGUUAUCAAUGAGACCUAAAGGAACAAAUUUCAUGAAGAGCACAAAGUCAAAUUCCAUACACAUCGAGAGUAAAAACUUCGGUAUUUCUUGCUACAGUUUCUGUAAAAUUUCCAGACUUAGCAUUUCCGUAUGAAAAUCAUUUAGUCGGCAAAAUCUUGUCCAUUUAUGCUAAAUUUUUUAUAUGUUACUCUCACAGAUGUGUUCUCCAACUUUUGUUAAGACUUCGAAAUCAGAUUUUGGCUAGAAAAUUCCAGAAAAAUCGAGAAAUCACUGAUGGUCAUGCUGUUCUUGCGAAAACAGUUUACUAGCCUAAAGAGGACUCUUCCUAUACUUUGAGUUUCAGUAUCCAACUUCCACAACCAAGAUUUAGAAGCACGUUACACCACAAUACAGCCUCUUUACUUCUCAAAAAUUCACCAUAGCUAAAUCCUUGAGUUCUCAUUUCAAUUUAAAAGCAAAAUCCACCAGAAACUUGCUCCAAUACCUCGGCCAGCUUCAUCUCAUUCAUCACAAACAACAUGCAGCUCCAAAUCUCACAUUUUCUCACAUCUACCCACUCUUCACUAGAUAAAACAGCAAGCAAAACAUAGGUUGAAGAACUUCUACUUGCCUUAAACUCUCUCACUCGGUGGCUGUCCGAAAAUGGAGGUUCGGGGGUCGCGGCUUGACCGGUCGGCGACGGGAACCGGUGGCGAGGCGGCGGCAGCUCGAGCACGGCAGAAGGUGGUCCCUUCUUCUUCUUCGCCGUUCACCCACCUGCUGCUCACUCGCGAAUUUCCUCGCUCGAUAUCUCUCUCUCUCUCGGUUCUGCUCGGUCACUCUCUUUAGUUCACUUUCACGAGCAGAUUAGCUGCUGGUUUUGCUAAAAACCAGCCAACAAAGAGGGGGAUUUUCGGUGGAUGCAUGCAUGGAGGACAGGUGGAAGAAGUGUGUCUCCAGCUGGGUUUUCUUGACCUUCGCUGGUUGCUCCACACGAAGCAACAUGGCCUCCUCUGGCCUUGCUUCUCGAUUACCAUUUACCAUGGCCGCUGGUUUUUACUUAAAACCAGUCAACUUAAGGGGAGUUUUUCCAUGGUUUGGCCGCAUGAAGGGCAGCUGGAUUCGUACGUGUCCAGCAUGCAUUUCUUCCUUCGACACCUUGCUCCUCCUUGCAACGUGUCUUCAGCUAUUUAAUUAAUUCUUUUCUUAAUCCCAAUUUGCUGGCCGACCGUGAGAAAGCAACGUGGCAUCAAUGGUCAGAAAUUUUCCUCUCAUAGUUGACUAGGGUGUCGACCAAAUGGAGAGAGGUUCGGGCAGCUUUUGGGCGCAGACGAUUCCUCCUUUUCCGCAUGGGUGUGCAUGUCCCUCAUGCACGGCUGAAUUCAAUUUCUUCGGCUCAGAAUUUUAAUUAAUAGAAGUCCAAAAUUUUCCUCUCAUUUCGUAUACAUUUUGGUGGUACAAUUGUGUAGUGUCAUCAAAGAAAUUUGCACAACUCAAUAAGGUUGAAUGUAGUACUAACGAUGACGAAUUCCAAUAGUAGCUUCAUCAAUCCAUGACGUUUCAUCAUCAUUCAUUUUUUUUUCUAAGAUCGACAAAAUAUGGAUGAGAUUGGUCUCACUAAUAACCUUAUGUAAAGAGGCUUCUGACAAUACUCUAGUCUAUCCCACAAUUGGACUAUUUUCUAAACGUGAGGUAUCGGUCCAUUAAUGAAAUAAAACGGAGUUCACACAUGGUGCCAACGACACCAUUCGACCGUACUUCCAUAAUCAGUCAUGGUCAUCACAUAUCCGAGGGUUGUCGAAAUUCUCGGGUGCCACAUGGCAUGCGAGUCCCUGUCAUACUGACAUUCGAUGGCUGAGUGCAUAAUGAGUUGUUUAUGCCAUGGCCGAAUGCUUUGCUCGAUUCAUUGUCCACAUUGCCGAUUUGUAUGCAUGUUCAGUUGUUGCUGAACGAGUCUCAUCCAUGAGAAUUGAUUGUAGAAUGUGGCUCAAUGUUGUUUUCCUGUGUUACGUUGCUAUGCGUUUCAGUUUUUGUGGCAUGACGUUCUUUGAAAAUGUCUCCGCUGGAGCCACCCGUGGGUAAUUAGAAUGCGGUCUUUAGCAUUUGGUCCCAAGAGUUCCUGUUGUGUAAAAUCAAAGUUGUUUCCAAGUUAUUCAAGUCACAUUAGCAAUAUAUGUUGGAUUCAUGUCGACUCCAUGUUGAUUUCUUAUAGAGUUCAAUGUGUUUUUUGCAUCAUAUGUGGGCUAGGAUUGGAUUUGAUAGAUCUUGGUUUCAUAUGAGGGUUAAUUCGGUAGCACAUGAUGGUACAUCGACAUGUAGAUGAUUUCUCAUCAUUUUGUAGUUACUAGUCCCUAUCUAUCUAAAUCAUGCUCAUGCAUCGUCAUUCUACUACUCGUGUUUCUCAAUUUUUAGUAGUUGAAAUUACCUCAAUAUCGUGAGCCAUAUUGCUUUAGAAUCCAAUGUGAUUAAUUUACAUAUUUGAUCAUGUUGUAAUCGUAUUGGGAAGAGUGGUGGGAUUUUAGGAUUUUGCCUCCCACCUAAGGAAAUGUUUGGAAACUAGCUGUCACAACCAAAAUUUCGGAUGCAUCACCUAAAAUUGGACUAAUGGAUUGUUAAGCCUAAACUUAGCUCGGCUCUCCCAAGCCUAUACCAAUUCGCGACUUAGGUUCAAAUAUCUAGCAUGCAAAAGGGAGUCGCCAUUAAUCAAUUUAAUGAAGGUCGAUUAGACACCUAAGUAAAAUAAUACUCCUACAAACCAUAUUUUGGGUACGGGGACUUGGUUACACUAGACUUCUCUAAUGCCCUUUAGGUACCAUUUCUUUUAUUUUUAAAAAUAUUUUUUGCAGGCAGCUUGGAUUGAUUUUAAAUAUAUUUUCCUAACACAUGAGGUGAUCAUAAGGAUGUGCAAACCACCAAUUUAAUACUCAAUAAAACAAUGAAUAAAUUGUAAACUUACCUUAUAUUAACGAAAGCAUCUGCAACGUUAAAUCAAAAUUCACAUCAUCAAUCCUAGAUAUGAUUUCUAAUUAACACGCAAUCACUCAAUUUUUAUUUUCAGCAACCACUCAAUUUUUAUUUUCAUUUAUUUAACUUAUUUAACAAGAAUCAUGCUUUAUGCAAUGCGUGCUACUAAUUUAAUAUGAAAUGAUAUGAUAUGGCAAUAUCACCUAAACUAUAUGACAUAAUAAACAUGCAGUCUAUUCAAAAGAAAUGCAAUAAUUAAAUGUGUAAUCUAAAUUAACCUAAUGACUUAAUUCUAAUGACGGGCAAUUUCUAAUUAAAUGAACCUAACAACAAUUACUAAAUGAUGUACGUUUCAUGAACCUAAUUCUAGAUGACAUGACUUUUUUUGUAUUUUUUUUAUGAAAAUUCGUAAUUAAAUCACUACAAAAUAAAAAUCUAACUAAAGUGAAAUGCUAUCUAUUCUAAAUGCCUUCUAAACAUGCAUUUAAAAAAAAUAAUAACUAACCUAUCAUGCAAUCAAUCCUAAUCUACAUGAAUGCAAAUGCAAUUUUUUGUAAUUUUGGGAUAAACAAAACAAUUAAAAGAUAAACAUCAUGAUCAUCAAAAAUGCUAUCCACCAUUUGAAUCGAAAUUCAAACUUGACUAUUUCGCUAAUAAAAUCGAUAAAUUGAUCUUAAACCUUAAAAAUCAAGAUAUCAAUUUUACUCCUGGGUGAAUAAUUAUUCCAUUUAAAGCCUUAUGGAUGGGAUUAAAAAUUCGUGCGGUUGCGAAUUGGAUGCUACGAUUUCAAUUAGGCAUCAAGAAAUAUUUCAAACAAUGAGACAAAAUAUCAAAAACUAAAUAAGAUCAAAUAAAUCUACCUAAAAUAAAUCUCUACCUAAAUUUGAAAUUUUACAAAAAAAUCCAAUUGGUAGAAUGGACAACGAUGGAGGCUCGGCACGGCAUGGCUCAAGGGCAGCGGCUGUGGUGAAAGGUCACCCAAGGAAAGGUUGUUGCUAGUGGUGCUAAAGGACAAGUAUUGCUCGAAAAUUCGCUGGGAUUGCCGGGGCGGUGACUGGAUUUGGUCAAGGAAGACCUACAAUAAUAAAAUUCAAACGAAAGCAAAAUAACUGGAUCGGUGGAGGUCUCGGGCACGUCAAGGACGCCUGGAAAAUCUGCAAGAAAGUCGUCAGGUGCGGCCAAGCUGCAUGCGCAUGUCAGAAAGGGACGGGCUGGUGUGGCAAAAUUGGCCGAGAAAGCUGAAGAUCAUGCAAGAGCAGACAUGCAAAGAAGCAUAUGGGCUAGAUUUUGCUAUGGUUCAGAAAUAUGUAUUUUCUCUCAUUCCAUAUUGAUCUCCAAGCAUCGCCAAGUGGAGCCUUGUUAGAGCCGCCAAAAUCUGAUCGUUGUGAGCUUUCAACCAUCGUCAUCGGAGGCUCCUUGGCGUGUGAUCAUCCGAAGGUCGUACCUCGGCUGGACAGCAAAUCGUCAUGGACUCUCGGGACAGCAACUUCGUCAUCGGCACAGCAAAACCAGAGCAGCGGUGUUGUCCUACGGCAGCGGAAGACGUCUCGUCCAGAGGGAGCGCGGCAAGAGGAACGUCCCAAUGGUGCGGCCUCUCUGCCGUGCUAUGGGUUCCGAAUUGCCGGCCCUCUCUUUGUUGACUAUUUUGUCCUAUAGCCGUCUCUAUUUUUCACGAGAUUGUGGCCAUCAUGAUGGUCAGAUAAUGGGAUAACCCAUGUGACCAUCCAUGAUAACGAUGAAUUGUAAAAACAAUAUAGUGGAGUAUGUGAUUUGCUCGAAGAAAAAGGGGGCAGAAGCGUGAAUGUGAUGAGGGGAGGAGAGAAAUAUUGUAAAAAGUCUGAAUUGACACAGUCGCUUCUCUCUCUCUCUCUCGCUACCUCUCACACUUUUUCUCUUUUUUCGUGAAUGAACGCGCUCUCCUCAACGUGGCCGCUUGUAUCAAUUGUGUGGCCCCAAAACUGUACGUGAACAAUCUAGGGUUUCAAUUUUUCCAAAUCAAUAUCUACAGAGAUUUUUUUUUUCAAACGCAAUAUUUAUUUUACCGAACGCAAUAUUUACUUUUCCACUUGCUCUAUCCAAAAAAGAAUUCAUCAUAUCCUAAAAAAUUUCAAAUUUCUAUUUUCACAAGAUAAUCUUUUAUCAUUAAAAAAAAGGGAGCUUGCACCAAUUUGCUCACUUUGUGGGCUUAGUCCGACCUGCCAAGUUAAGGUUCAAAAUCAUUAAUUUGAACCCAUCCAUCACCGGUCCAAUAAAUAAAUGCAAAAAAAUGCAAAUUAAAAAUAAAUGCACAUAAAUCUAUAUGUUAUGCAAUUAAUAUUUUUUUAGAAUUAAAAUUAACCUCUAAUUUUUAAUGCGAUAAAUGAUUAAAUGGGUUGCUAAAAUUUAGGUGUCAACACUAGCCAAAGGACCAACUUUACCGUCUUGGCUCAAAUGGAUCGGAUAUUGCAUUAGGUGGCCUCUCAUUUCCAUGGGAUUAUGUUGGUCCUCAUCCGCAUAAGCCCUCCAAUUCCGUUUGGCUAUUUUGUUCACCCUCUUCAUGAGUUCAAUGCUUUGCAACUCCCUGAAGCUGUCCUCUAAAUCUCCCAAGUGCUCCACCCAAAGCGACAUCCUAUAACCAUAAGCCUGCACAACAUCAUUAAAACAUUAUUAGUCACAAGCUUGAGUUUUUGAUAAAUGUCGAUGCACUCGCUGGGUGUUCAGCUAGUACCUGCUAUUAAAUAGAUGUAACCACAUGGAAAUAUGACAUACUUGAACUUCAUACACAAUUCCAUUGUUGUGCCCUUUGAAUCCAAAAUCAGUGGUAUUAGCUAAUGCAAAAUUCUCAGUGGGACCCACAUACACUCUACAUCUCGCGGCCCUCUGCAGAAUUCUCUGCCUCUCUUCCUGUCUCUCCACAUCUAAUGAACUGAGUCGCUUUCCUUUUCAGCUCAGGCUUGGCGCGCUCUGAAGCAGGGGGCCAGAACAGAAACAGAGGACCUUCCAACACGGAAAAGGAGCUCAACAAAUUCUCUCUAGCCCUCAGUUAUUCCUUUGAUCUUCAUUCCCUCUUCAUUGUCCUCUCUGUCACCCUCCAUCCACCAACAGCUGCUGCCACACCUCCAUCGCUGGCCACCACAGGACAUGUCACACUGAGAAGGGGCAAGAACAAACAGCGUUGAUUAAAGGAACUCGGGUGAUUUUUGAGCAUUUAUAAGGCUGAGAAGAACAGAGGGCGAGCUUUAAUUGACACCGUAGACUGAUGCUUCAACGAGGAUUAUCACCGUAGACAAAUGAUGUGGACAAACAUGAAGAGAUUGUUAAGAUGGAGCUGACUGAAUAGUGAUGGCUAUGUUCUUUUUACUGAAGGCAACGGGAAAGAUACAGUUGGAGUUUUGAUUUGGAUCCCUCUUCCUUGGUGGCUCUUAUACCAUGGAAAUAUUUCUAUGAUUUGCAAGCGAGAGAGAGAGAGAGAGAGAGAGAAUCAACAAAUACUACACCUUUACUCAAUAGCCGAAUAAAAGAGGAUAUAGUAGCUCCACUUAUAAAGCAUGAGAGACAUUAACAAAGCUUCGAUUACCUUAUUUGUGACCACCUGCUAACUGUCGACUAAUUUUCAUAAAUAUACUCCAACACAUAUCACAAUUGGAGCAAAUACUUGACAGUGUUUUUGCAUGUUUUUCCAGGAUGUUAGUGCGUCAUUUUCAAAUAAGUAUCCACAACUGUACAAGGAGGGAAUACAGAAUUCAUACUUCAACUGUAGAGUUGUGGCAGCCUGGUCUGUUUCUGCGGUCUACCAGUCUCUCGUCCUUUUUCACUUUGUGACAGCUUCUAGUUCUACUGGUCUAAAUUCAUCGGGAAAAAUGUUGGGCCUCCAGGACGUCAGCACAAUGGCAUUUACCUUUAUGGUUGUCACUGUAAACUUACGCCUUCUUAUGAUGUGGAAUUCAAUAACAAGAUGCCCUCAUUUCGCUGUCAGUAGAAGCAUCCUUGGGAUGUUUGUUUUAUUUUAUAUGUUCACUUAUGAUGGUGAGUCUUCUCCCUUUCUGGGGGUUCUUUUCUUCCCUUCACCUCAUCUAGUCCUCUUUUGGAUAGCAAUUAUUCUGAUAUUCGUCUUAUUACUUGUAUGCGCAAGAAAGUCUCUACCAUGUCAUCCACGUAUUAAUGAGUACAGUCUACUUCUACCUGACAUUUCUUCUGGUUCCAAUUGUCGCAGUACUUGGUGACUUCUUAUGCCAAGGGCAAGGUUUCAGACUCAUAUCUGGCCCAACAAAAAACAGUCGGGCUUUUUUGUUCUUAGACAUAUUUCUCGUUUAGAAACAGAGAGAAACACUGUAACAUAGUUCUCAAGUAAAUUUGCUCAAGAAUACUGAUUGCGAAUCUGCAAUUUCGCUUUUCUAAAAGUAACAAAUGUCGUUUGUCAUGGAAAUUAUAAUGGAGGACCUCCUUUUUCGCUCAAAUAGCCUUCAUUAUCUUCAUUGUCGAUUUCGUGGGUCCUUUUUUCCCUAUUUGCUCCGAGACAAGAUACAGGGCUUGUCAUGUCCGUACUUUUCCAGUUUCUCAGAUGGUUCAUCAUUUGGGAAUUGUAUCUGCUUCUCUCUCUCUCUCUCUCUCUCUCUCUCUCUCUCUCUAACCCCUCUUCCUCCUCUCUGGGCUGAAGAUGGUCUUAUUUCCGGAAUGCGGUUACAGGAUAAAUCCAUAUAUCAGCCUUAAUUGGUAUAAGUAUUUAUUGGCUUGUGGGAACUUGACAGCUCGCUCAUCUCACGCGAUUGAUUUCUGGGUUCACCAUAUUCUAUUUGGCGGAUUCUGUUUAUUAGCAAUGAGUGUUUUCUUUAAGUAAUUGCAAUGGAUACUUCCUCUGAUUAGUUUCUUUUUUUUCCUUCUUUUUUUUCACGCACUAAUUUUUCAUGCACUUGGUUAUAGGAUUCAAAGGUGGUUCUUCCCAUAUGAUUAUCAGAUAUUAUAGGAAUUUCUAUGGGCACAAGCCACGGGAUGAGGACAAAGCCGAAGACAUUGCCCAGGAGCUCUGAUUUACAGAUAUGUUUCUUAGUACUGUAAAAUGAAAUUUUUAGAUUGUUCGAGUUUCUCUAUUAUUGUCAGAAUCACAAGCAUACGAUCUUUAGGAUUCUGCCUUCCAAAAUUCGUACCCAUCCCUAAACGGAAGGAAAGGGAGGGAUGUGAUGAUAACAGACUUCUGGACUCCUUCCAGACGCCAAGAGUAUCGCACGUUUCAGAGCAGUAGGAAAGCGGCUUACGUUAAUUCUGUUCGUGCAUUUAUGGGCUAGUUCUAGCCCAACCGCAAAGUCCUAAAUGCUUUUCAGUAAACGUUUUUUUUUAUAUCUUCCUGUUCAUUGUUUCUUGACAAAGCUCGCUUCACAAAGGAGGCUUACCUUUUAUUACGAGCCACGCUGCUCAUUUCUCGCAUUGUGACUGCUUAUAUGGCUGCAAUAAGGAGUUCCUUUGCCUGUUCAUUAAUUCUCUGGUCGCUUUUUCUCUGGUUGAGUGGGAGAUCUGUUAACUGUUAGGUUAUUUUAGGUGCUACUCUGGGACCCAUCGCUGGCUGCAUCCCGAAGUUGUUUGAGGAUGACAAACUGACCAUGCCUCUGUCGAAAAAGUCGGGUGGUUUCCUAGGAAUUGCUAAAAGUGUGAUCGUUGAAAGCACCUCAUUAGUUGAAGAAGGACAUUUUCUCAGAUUUUUAUAACUGAUUCCAACCGUGUCCUAUGAUCCCCUUCCAACACAGAAGUCUAUUAUAUUCUGUAAGCAAAAGCCGUUGCAAGAAUCGCAUAUAAUCACCUUAACGAUGGACCAAAUAUCUCAUGAGGAGCUGAUGAACUUGGCCAAGUUUCUGAGACACUUGACUGCUGGGAUUCGUCCAACUGUUCUUCAUUACCAUCGUCGCCAUCAUCAUUCUCGAAAACCAUCUGUAUCCCAUGCUUUUUCAGCGAGAGCCCAGGAAAGUAUGGUGGGUCUCGCAGGACUAUAUCUAUUCCUGUCUCCUUUGAACAGCCGAACCAUUGGCUUGAAUUCUGGAUGUCUAAUCUAGUAAAGCUGGUCUUGGCUUGUGUCAUUUAAUGUCUGACGUGUCUUGGACCUUCAAGCCUAAGAAGCCUUCCUUUAAUGUCCUCGAUUGCUGGUAGCAGAAUGUUUGCCCGGUUUGCACUGUCCAUAGAGACAACAACAGCGAAAAUCAUUCCCUCUAACCUCGCGGUUCUUCUUCGGAGCAGCAAAAUGAGGAACUUCCUGAGAAAACCAUCCAGGAAUCUCACUCCCAGGGACACUCGAGUUGUGAAAAUGCUUUAGAGCAACCUGAAAUUUCCCAUGGAAAAAACACAUUUUAAGGUCAAACUAUCUGCAUUCAUGAUUGAAGAUACUGAACAAAGGUGGAGAAACUGAACUGGUGAUCUUCAUCCAUCUUUUUGCCACAGUUCAAGUAGUUUUCCCAAAAUGGGAGUUAUGAGUUAUCUUUUUCACCUUUUCAAUUCGUCUCUCCCAAGAGUAAAAGCCUCAGAGAUUUCAAUAUCCGGAGACCAGUGACGUCAACUAGAUUGCUGCAAUCAGUAAAGUUUGGCUCCUUCAAAUCAGUAGAAUUCAGAUGAUCGGCGUAAAUUUGAAAUUGAUUAACCUCAACUCGGGAUAGUUCUCGGAGAUGAUGGCCACGACUGCGCUGAGUCGCGGAUCGCCUCCAGAAGGCCCAACGCUAUCUCCUCCCCUCGCUUGAGGCCUUCUUCAUCGAGCCGGAGCUGCAGCACGCUGCUGAGCUCGUGCUUGCGGUAGAGGCAAUCCACGAUGCCAUGGCAGGGGUGUCGGCGCCGCAAGAGCUGAGGAAGACGUCGCAGCGGAAGCGAGAUGAGAACAUAGCGUCGUCCUCUUCGGGAUCGUCUGUCAGCAUCGUUGUCUUCGGCUUCUUGGUCGGCCUCACUUGGGAGUCGCCGGUCUUUUGACAGAGGCGGUCCAUGCAUUGAUUGGGGCACCACUUAACGAUGAGCAAGGAGCAACGAGCACCUUACUGAUAGAUUUGUGUUCCCUUUGAAAAAACUAAAGAGCGAUUUCCACAGCAUGGGAAAUGUGCUGUCUUAAUUUUUAAUUGACAAAUCAUGGCAUUCUCGUUAGUUAAAGGAAAAAUUAUCAAUGUAUGGUGAUCAAUUCAAUUUUAAAUUUAUGUAUUAAUUUAGUAUUAAGCAGUCAUAAAUAAUUUAAUCGUGUCAAUUUAGUCUUAAAUUUUUUAAAAAUUAUAAAUGUAAUCUUUUUGGGUAAUUUUUGUUGGAAAUUUUCUUUCUUUUUAUUUUAUAGUUUUCUUCUUAAGGUCAGCAAGUCCACCGGUCACUGGCCGAGGGCCAGCAGCCCAGACACCCCUGUAAAUAAAAACAAGGAUGGUAAAGAAAAUUAAAAGUUUUAAGGAAAAAAAAAUUCAAGUACUCAGAUUGAUAGUUUAUGCCAUGACAUAGCAACAUGUCUCCUCGAUACGUAACAAAAAUUAUCACGACAAGGAUGUUCAUAUCUACUCCGGUUAAAUGUAGGAUCGCAAGUUUGUCAAUUUAGCCUGAUUUGGUUUUCAAUUUCAAUCCUUUAGACUAAAAUUAAUUUGACCUUGGGGCUGCACGCCUUGCACGUGCUGGUGUCGGAGAACGUCAGCACCUCCCUGCACCGACGGUUGCGGCACGCCGACGUCUUCUUCUCCCUUGGAUCGCAGUCCCCGAACCUCUCUUGCCUCUACAAGAUGACCUCUCUGGUCUUGAUCUGCACAUGAUUUGCUCGUUUGCAUGUAAAAAAAAUGUGCGAUUCAGGAUCGAAAAAUUAUUGAACAAAUCUUUCUUUUCGUAUAAAUUUUUAAUGGAUUGGCCACCAAAAUCACAAACUCGAUUGCGUCAUGAUCCGACGGAAGCAAUCGAAGUGAUGAAUUACCUCACGACAACCGUCGCGGGUGGAAGAAGGAGAUCGAGGAGAUUGCAAUAUGGGAAAGCCCAUGUUCCUCCUCCCACCUCUCUCUUUCUC